rnacentral:lncRNA from 1 species
GCUCUUGCUGUGAAUGAUGUUCUUUAAUAUUAGUUUAUAAAAAUGCAGAAGAUAUCUUGACGUUAGAAAAUUUUUCUGGUACGAGGUCUUGCUCAGUAUCCUCCACCAGCCUGACAUCGUUGGCAACGACAUCCACAUCAUCGUCGCCAUAAACGACUAGAAGGUGGCACUCCUCUCUUCCUUCCCCUCUGUGGCAACUCCCAUAUGCCCACCACCAUGGACAACUGGAGAGCUACUCUCCUCCUCUGCCUCACCUCGAUUGAUGCUGGUGAUAUCAUUGCCUGUAGCGGCGACGACAACCAACCACCCCCCUCCUCCUCGGCCUCUUCCCCCUCCGCUUUUGGUGACGACCAACCAGUGGGCCCCUCCUCCACCACCUCCGGGCACUUCAUAAUCUAAGCUGGCUUGCAUGCUGCGGAGCUUCAUCUCCACUCUCUUCCGUUGGCACACCAUCAGUGCCGAGCCCUGCCGUGACUCCCACAAAGCCAACAUCUCCUUCCCUGCCCUCGACGGCAUUCACCCCAUCGAACUAUCCGCCAGGGAGGACCACGAAUUUGCGAUCUCGGUGUUAGACGAUGCUGGAUGACAAUGAUGCGUCAGCGAGGACUACUUUGAGACCGACCUCUCUGGCGACUCCUGGAAGUCUCGCCCGCCCAUCAUCGACCAUGGCGACGACUCGUAUACUUCAAGCUCCAGGUUCACCCCAAGUUCGCCGGUGACUACAACCUCAGCAUUGUCCUCCUCUUUCGCAACCUCAAGGGGCUCAAAUACUCGCUUGAGCGGUUCAAGUUCCAGCGACAGAGAAUCUUUUAGGUCAAGUUCUUGAAGAGCAAUGCCUCCUUGUCGGGUCUUCGAAACUGCAGCAAUACGUUUGGUCUGGUCGAUGGACUCGGCAUGGCAAGAGCAAGCAAUGUCUCCUCUUUCCUCUCCUACCGUGGCAACCAAGCCGCCCUGCAAGAUCCCCUUACCGUCGCUACCCUUCGGCAUUUGGGAGAGGAGGGAUAGGGUGAGAGCUUUCGAAAAAAAAAUGGUCCUGAAGUCCAAAUUGAUCACGGAACCUACCAUCUAUUUUAACGUUUAAACAAUUUAAUGGUCGACAUAUCUAGUGCACCAGUCACGUACAUUAUGACUGCAUGGACAAAUUCAAACCCUCCAUGUUGGAUUCAAUGGCCACGGAUAGCGCAGCCGCAAAAAUAUUAGAAUAUCCCAUUGGAACACCGUUGAAAAACUCUAAACAAAUUAUAUAGGUUAUGCAGGUUAAUAAGCUAUGCAUGUUAAAGGGAUUACUUAUUAAAUAGGUUAAAUAGAUAGGCUCACAUUAUUUGAUUCUUAAAUAUAAUAAUAUAAUAUGUUUAGAUUUCAAAUUCUAGCAUAUUUAAUAAAUGGAUUAGGUUUACAUUUGAAAUUCGUUUGAUCCAACUUGCAUUUUGACUGGACUCGGUCCAAUUGCCCUUGGUUGAGACUUGAGCCGAGCUCAUAACAUGCUUGAGCUUGGCUUGGCUAGGCUCGAGCCAAAUACGAGCCGAGCUGUGGUGAGCUUUUUUUCCAUUGUUUUUGAACAAAAUCAAUGCUUAAACUUAGCUUCUUUCCUAAAUCAACCGAACUUAAACUAGCUUACGGUGAGCUAAGCCCAAGCUGCUCAUAAGCAACUCGGUUCAUUUACACCCCAGAGUCAGGAUAUAGUGCUAUAUCUUUGAUCUAUAUGCGACGGCAUAUUGAACGGAUAACAAGUUCGAAAAAGGAACCACCGUCCAAUGCCCUUUCAGCAUAGAUGAAUUCUAUUUAUUAAGGAGGUACUUUUGUUCGUUUAGAAUACUUGGUAAAAGGGGGAAAAGUAAAGGAGAAAAGGUUUUCUAAUGAAAAGAAAAAAUCGAGUCAAUGGUGAAAAAUCCACUUCUAUAUUGUGUUUUUUUUUAUCAUCCAAAGAGAUGGAAAACUCUUUUAUUUUAACAAUAACUUAGGUUUUUCAGAGGGUUUUCUAUUUUUCUGUAUGUAAAACCAAACAUACCUUAAGGCUGCAUCAUAAUCAUGUUGUUUAGCAGUGGCCAAGCCUUCAAGAAAGUGUUAAUAAGUCUUAUUACCAAAAGGCAAUGUUGACAAGUAAUCAAAUAAAAGCAUUAGGAUGCUUCAUUGUAAUAUUUGUCAAAUAUCCUCAAGUCUCUAACCUCAUUUCUUAUGUGUGUGUUAUUACUUCUAUGAAACUUUUUUGUUGAUUCUGAUUAUUUCUUUAUGAGUUCUAUGUAUUAUACUAACCCAUAUUUCCAUUGCAGUUCUUAUUAUAUAUUAUUUUUUAUUUUUUAUUUUUAUUUUUAUUUUUAUUGUACAUCUUUUAUUAACCUUUCUCUCAAAUUGAACUAUAUUGCAGGAUCUUUUCGCCCAGCCCAUCCCACCAAGUCUAGCCGAACAAGUCCCUAAAGAAAUUCUUUGCGCACUGCGGGCGGUGUAAAAAUCCGAUAUGAAAUAUACUGUCUUGUCCAAUGGGUCCACAUAGCCAUCAUUUUUCAAUGUACAUAUAAUAUUUACAGUUUCGUUUGAAAUUUUGAAUGACGAAAAUGAGUAAAUAACCCUCCUCUUUGAAAAAAAUUAUGACAUUCUAUAACAUCCUGCGCCAAAUUAUGAUUUUCUGCUCGCAUAUUGUCAUAAUAUGACUCAAAAUGUCAUAAUAUGAGAGGGGUAUUUUUGUCUAACUACUUUCCAACACGCAUUUAAUGCCUAUAGUUCUAUUUUUUUGUUUGAAGAUUUUGAAUGACGAAAAUACUUCUGUUCUUUGAAAAAAAUUAUGACAUCCUGUGGCAUAUUAUGAUAUCCUGCGUCAAAUCAUGACUUCCUACACUCAUGAUGUCAUAAUAUGAACAUAAGAUGUCAUGAUUUUUUUCAAAGAGUACGAGCAUUCAAAAUUUCAAACAAAAAAAUAAAACUGCUGACAUUAAAUACGUAUUGAAAAAUAAUAACUAUGUGAACCAAAAAAUUUCUGCACUACCCAUAUUGCACAGAAUUCCUCCAAGUCUAAUAUUUAGAAGAGGAGUUGACCUAAAGAAUCAACGCAACGGGGAAAAAAUGGUGCUUGAAUCACACAAACAAAGCUUAAAGCAAAGCAAAUCAUUAGCCGAACAUUUUACAUGGUAAAUUAAGACACCGAAUUAUUGAUCUAACAACCGGAAGCCAAUAACUUCAGCAUUUCAUUUUAUUAUAUACAAAUGCUGUUCAGUGCUAGGAUCCAGCUGAGGCACAAAUAUUGCCCGUGCACAAAUAUUGCCCGUGUAAUCAACUAAGCGACCUACUGUCCUUAAAUCUUCACCGUAUAUUAAGUCUCUUGGGCAACGCCAUUUCUCACCAGAUAGCUAGAAUACCAGCUACCGUGAAUAUCUUCUUAUUCUUGCAGCUGAUUUAUUUAAAUUUGUAAAUGACGAGGAUAUCAACCAAGGCAAGAGAAAUGCUCGUGGCAUUUUCAGAACUACCUACCUAUAUUUGCAUUGUAAUUUCCCUUCCAAAGAAAACAAUUCACUUCUACAUGCUAAAACAUGCUUUGACAAUUUUAAAAUUCUUUGUCAGCGUUCAAUUACCUGUGGUCACAAGAAGCACAGAAUAUUUCAUAUCUAUCAUAACCUGCCAACAAUCCAAAUUCCACAUUUAUCAUAUUAUAUGAAUGAAAAAAAACGAAGCAUAUANNNNNNNNNNNNNNNNNNNNGAGAGAGAGAGAGAGGAAAAAAAGAGAAAAUGGAGACCUCAUGCUUUGCUGUUCUCUAGCUUUGCAUUUUUAAACCAUACACCAACACCUGAAAACAACAGAAGAAAGAUAAUUUUAUAAUAAAGCAGAACCACAGAAGCGAAAACUUGUUAACAAUUUAAUUGGCUGCAAUGUCUCACCAGCUCCCCUUGUUUGGCAGGAAAAGAAGCAUGAAGCUUAGCAAGAGAUUCUUGUGCUUCCAAUAUUUGUAGCCCCUCUGAGGGAUUAGACCCGGCAUUAUCAACCAUGGUCGAGUCAAUUGCCAGAGUUCCAACUUUAGGCUUUCUUACAUAUAUCUCAACUUCUUCAGCUUGUACAGAUGUCUGAAGAGCAACGAACUGCAUAUAUGCAUAUUCACAGUUAAGUUUCGGUAGUAGCAUAUUUGAAUAUUAAGCAGUUUUAGUGAUUUAAACCAAAAGAGUUCCUAAGAAGAAAGGAAUCACUUGGCAAAGGUGUCUAAUGCACAAGGUUGGACUGCAGCAAAGAUAUGGUCGUUCCAAAUUUGGCACGCUUUGUUCGUCCAAAGGAAGCAGGGUCAGGUGUACAUCAAACUGAAAUAUAAAAUCAUAAAGCACUAAUAAUGUUUUACUAAAGUUUUGGUAUAUCACAUCAUAGCAAAAGCCAAAUAAUUUUCGUUGCUGUUGUCAUACCUCAGCAUCAGUUUCAUCUAAAUUACGGAUGUGCUCAACGAACUUGGUCAUGCGCCCACCCUUGACAAGUCUACCAUUUGAACUGCUAGUAUUACCAUGUCUGGUUUGACUGCGUGUACCAUUCUUACCCCAUGCAAGUAUCUCUCUGUUUCCUGCUCUCAAAGGUGAUGUGCGUAAGUUUUCACGGCUGGCUUCCAAGUCAUCAUUUUCCUCACCAUCGACAUUGCCUGCUGUUCUUGCUGGCGAAGACCGUGGCAUGCGCCGUCUUUUGAAUCUCUUCUGCCGUACAUCAGGAGAACGAUCCUCAGCAGAAGAGGAAUCUUUGCCGCCAUCAUUACCAUUUGCUUCCUCUUCAUCAUCAUCAUCAGAGACGGCAAGUGCAUUGUCCCGAACACCACUUCUACCUCUGCCACGUAGAUAACUGUUUUGUCCAGCUCGAAAAUUCCCCCUUGAUUUUCUUACAAAAACUUCCGCUGCAGCUUUUGUGGACUUUUUCCUACCCAGUGCUUCUGCUUGUCGCCGCAACGUCUCAGCUAUGGAUGCUUGAAUCUAAUAUAAAUGGGAGAUUGAUAAUCAAGAUAUACCAGAUAAAAAGAUGAUAAACAAGAAAAGGACACAGGCAUGCAUGCACGCACCCACUCAUUCAUACACCUAAAGGUUCUCAAUAUUUGAGAUAAGUCAACUAGAUAAUACUACCUUCUUAUUGCGAGUUUUCUCUUCUUCAUGGAAAGCCAGUUCCUGCAAAAAGAUAAUGAAGCAAAAGUCAAACACUGCCUCAAAAACAAAGGAAUAAAAAAUACUACCCAUGCAUACAAUUGAGAAAUCUGAUGAACAACAAUAAAUUCUAGUAACUUGUGUACCUCUUCCUCAUACUUAUCAAUAUCUGGAUAUAAAGCUGCAAUCAGAGCAUCAUAAUUUGGAUCGUCCCUCAAAGAACGCCGACUAGCACAAUGUGUCCGGCAUGCUGGACACUCAUUAUUCCUGAAGGAAUAGUUAGCAGCUAAAUUGUUGAAGUCACAUGUCCAAAUAACCAUAGAUAUAAAAGAUCAAUCAGUUAGCAUUUAUUUUUUCUGGCAUAAUGCAAGUUACAUAGAAGAUUUUGUAUUCCUGUACAAUCAAAGAGAUAAAGAUAGUAUUAUUUUACACCAUACCCAAGCCGCAUCGAUUUGUCAAUACAUUCCCUGCAAAAGCGAUGCAGGCAUUCCAUAACUGUUCGUGUCUUCCUGAUUAUACCUGGUGCAUAAAGGGUUCAGUAAGAAAAAGGAAGUUUUCUAUGGAAUAACUAGUAGUAGCAUAUACCAAGGGAUACAUGGAUUGGAUAUAAGUUAUGUUUUCCUGCUUACCCAGAAUGUCACCAGCAGAACCACAAGAAAGUACUUAUGAAAUGAUUAAUAGAAUUCUCAAAUUAUGCAAAACAGGAUCACAGAGACAAACAACAUGGACUAAUUUUAACAUAGAAAAUGGUAUUCAGGAGCAGGGUUUUGCUAAUCACCUUCUUUGUAAUUUAGCUGCUUAUUGCUGGGCUUACAGUUUCAGCUUAAUAUGGGCAUUUGCAUCUUUUUGGAUAUGACAAUCAUUCAACAAAAUAUAAGCAGCGUAUAUAUACAUGAUGCACAAUACUUCUACAUGUUCAUGAAAUCAUGUACCAACAUGUAAAUGAGGAAGAACUCAUAUGAACACAAGGUAUGUCAGAAAAUAUUGGGUUAGUACUUAAAAACUCUGAAAGUAAUAAGGAUACUAUAAAGACUUGGGUUUAAGAUGGGGAACAGCAGGCAUUUAUUACGAGACAGUAAAAUGAAGAUAUACCUACUUCUCAAUCUAACUGCAAGCAGAUACUGAGAUUGAAGUUAGUUCGAUAUGCUAAAAUAUCUCAAAUAAGGAGUUCCUAAAGUGCACCAACAAUGUACAUAAUGAGAAACAACCAUUACCCAGCAUGAAUAACAAAGACAACAUUCAUUCUCCAGCUGUUUAACCAUCUGACAGGAACACUCUAGCCCAAAAUAAAUAUCAUUCUGUAGAUCAUGUUUUUCUUCCAGUUUGAAUAUCUGAUGAAGGCUUGGCAAAGAUUUGAGUAUUAAUAGAUGGAUUAUGAUGCCAGAAGGAUCACAUUGCAAGCCAUAUCAAAAAUAAAGCAAGCUCUCUCUCUCUCUCUCUCUGUGUGUGUGUGUGUGUGUGUGUGUGUGUGUGUGGAUUCAGCGGCAGAAGCUUAAUCUCUUUCAUUAAGAAAGUGGAAGGGAGAUAUAAAGAAAAAUCACUGGAGGAAAGAAAUAAAAGGAAGGAUAGGAUAAGAGAGGAAAGAGAAAAUUAAAAAAAAGCAUUAAGGGACAAAAGGUGGGAAUCUUGGCAGGAAGGUAACCAACCAAGUCCAAAUCAGCCUAAAAAAGGAGAAGCCCACCAGCACUGAUAGUAGUCUCUGUUUAGCCAUUUGAGCAGACAAGGUCCAAUCAUUCAACGUAAGUGUUGUAUUUUCCAAGAUGAGAUCUUGGACAUUGAAUUUGUUAAAGAAGAAUCUAAAAUUGCCAAGAAUAUUGUCACUUUUCAAGAAGGUGAUCAAUAAAUUCUUCUUCACAUCACUCAAGAAAAAUGGAGGUGCUGGCUGAUUUCACUCUUUUCUUCCUGCAGUCAUAUGUAGUAUGUGAACACCAACUGGCAAUCACCAGUUGGCACAACCAGUUCAGUAAACUAUAUACCCGCUGACUAUGGCUUCUUAAGGAGCUUUUCUCAGCUUCAACUUAAAGACAGUUACUGCCACAAUGUAGGCAGUCAUGUGAAUUUUCCAUGAUUUUGAAAGCCUAUAAAGCAAAUAAAAUUUCCUUAUUUUUUCUAAACAUAGAUGCCAUUCAAUUAUGAAGAUCAAUGAAAAAUUUUUUGAUCCAUAACCCCAAAACCUUUUUCCAAAUCUUUAGCAACAGACUGUAAGAAAAUAUCAUUUUUGUUUGGGUAAUACAUAGGUGGAUGCUUUCAAAUGGCAAAUUCAGCUGCUGUGGGAUCAGGUUUAUUAAGUGGACCUAGAGUUUAAAGAGAGUGAGGCAGGAAAGCAUCAAAACAGUGUGAAACCCAAUGAUGACAAUGCAAAAAUAAUAAUAAUAAUAAUAAUAAUAAAGUGAAAUAAGGUACUUUAAAAAUUUAACUAUAUUCAGGUCUAUAUGUCUGCCUGAUACAUGGACAACUUCUACAAUCCUCAGAACUUUGCACUAUAAUCCAUGCUAUGCUGCCAGUCCAAAGUGCAUCAUAGACACCCACUUACACUCUAUGAAUCCUAGAAAGCAUUUUCAAACUCUCCAGAAUCAACAUGACAGGGGCUAAAGCCUUGGAUUGCCUUAUAGGAAGGCAGGUGUGAUACAAACUCCUCUAUGAACUGUAGUUAAAUACUACCAUUAAUACAUGAGUUUGCAUCACUUUAUGGUGGUAUUCUAAAUAUCUUGCUAGGAGCCAAGUGAUUUUAGAGAAGUCAGAUGAAAAGGCAUACAGUUAUGAGUCUUACUUUGAUGGAAAUUCAUUGAACAAAAAACAGUACUGGGGUCUAGCAGAAUUCCCUCCAUGUUUACUAUAUUUUUCUGUUCAUCUUCAUCUUAUUUCUUCUUUAUAGAUUUAUAAUCAUGAUGAUCUCAGAUAAGGUUUGAGCUUUUCUACCUUCUCUUAUUUUUCUGUUCUACAUGUCAUACUUGUUUUGUUUUAUAUGUAACAUAUCUAAAUUUAAUUUGAUUCAUAUCAAUAUCUACCAAUCAUCUAUCUUCCCUGCUCCCUCCAUUUUCAUCAUCUUUUUUCUCUUUAUAAAUUUCCAAAUUCAUAUCUCAAAAUUUGUUCUUCUAUUCACCUCCUCUUACUCCACCAUCUGACCAUGUCUAACCCACCGGAUGUGACAGUACUGAAAUAAUAAAUCAGACUGAAAAGCAUGUCCAAAUGUCUUACAGCAUUUCAAUUUUACAGAUUUGGACAGAAAACAGAAAGCCCAGCAAACACCUCACUCACUCCUGAAAUUAUAAUCCAGAGCUUGGUUUACAUCAGUCAAUAGCAGAACAAGAUUUUUGUGGUUAGAAGAUUAGAUGGCCAAAUUGUCAAUGGAAAGAUUCGAAAGCUUUUCCUGAAGUCAACAGAACAGAGAUAUGAGCUAUAAUGAAGUGGUGUUUCAACGAAUAAAGAUACCAUGAUCAAAUACUACCUGUUGUACAAGACCCACAGAAGCAAAUAUGUCGUUAACACCAACACUUAGAUCUAUUGGGAGGACAUGAUAUCUCUAAUUUUUUUCUUGGAUACUCAUUGAAUUGAUGCAGAAUUGCAAGUCGGUGGUGGCCCCCCGAAUUGUUGAGUCUGGAGCUUAAGAGUUGACUAAGGACUUGUAUAAAUAGUGGAACUUCAACAUAAUUCCUAAUGAUCGAAAACCAAAGCACAGAAGGAAAACUUUAUCUUCCCCCCUCAGGAUUUCCAACAACCCAGCUCCCUAAUGCAGUUCGAUUUUUGUAGACUUAAAACAUUUUAUACAAUUUGGAAAAACUGUUUCCCAUGCCCUUUGAAAUAAUAACCUUUCUUUUCUCUUCACUCGGGAUAUCAGACUCCUAAUUAUAGCUAUUGAUCACCGACCUAAUGUAAAAAUCUGUACCUGCAAUUUACAAGAGUAUCUCCUCUUGUGGAACCAACACCUGCAGUCAAGGACUCUGCCAGAAUUAUCUCAUGUACCCUACUUGUGCAAAAAUGACACUUUUACAAAGUUAAGGCAUGCUUUAUUGCCAAGUCUAAAACUACCUUGUAAUCUGUGAACAGAAUCCUAGCAAACAACCUGGCACAUAGUUUGGAGUAGCAGGAUGCUCUAAGAAUUUCUUCAACAUGUUUCACUUUGAUUUGCAACAAGAGCUAUCCUAGAGAAUCAUGCAUGAAAAUUUUCCAAAACUGAGUUCUAGAUACCGUGUUGGGCAUUGAACAAAUUUAAGGGAUAUUUGCAGCAUCACUAUUGUAUGAGGAUUCACUAACAUCAGUUACCAUAAUGAUCAUAAAAAUUAUGCAUAUCUUGCAAGUCAAUAUGUCAUAAUUUUUAUUAGGGAUAACAGUAACUGAAGUUUAGAUUAAGAAACAAAAAAAAAAAGAAAACUUUAGGAACAUAAACAUAAAAAUGUGUCUUAUAAGGUAUUUCAUUUACAUAACCAGCAAUUACCGGGUCUAAGAUCAGUUUGGUCAUUCAUAUAUUCAUACAUGAAUAUAUUCUGCCUUAGAAAUAUUUUCUUAAUUCUAGGAGUAGAUAAAAAGCAUACAGGUACUUAUGUCCAUUGAAUCACCUUCUUUAAGAUUCACAUUGACGCAGAAAGAUCUAGACUAGUUUUACAGUGUAGAGUUCUAACAUCACAAUAAAGGUCAUUUUCAAGGAUCAAUGCAGUCAUAUGCACACCUUACUUUACCAUCUUCCAUGUCUCUCAAAAGAUGGGAAAGACAAUGAUCCCCAGGAACACUUUAAAUUUAAGCUUACAACAAAGUCUAAAUGUAGGUUAACCCCAUCCAAAGUAUUUCACAGACAGUCCAUUAUAUGCAACAUUAUCCAAUAUGAAUCCCAUAACAAGUGAUUUCCCAAACCUUAUGUGGAAUCAAUAUGGUAGAAUUUGAUGCACUAAAGAAGUGGGGAAAAAUCUUAAGACAGCAAAAGGCUAACAGAGCUAUCGAUGGAGGUGAUUAUCUCAACAAAAUACUAGAAUUUUAGGAUUCAGGGAAAUAAGAAAGAGUCAAAAGCUUUCUGAAGAUUUAAUUAAGUCAUGUCGAAUUCCGGCACGAAUGCUAUCAAACAUUACCGGAAUCUCCAACCAGAAAAGGAUUGAACCAAAAGCCUAGGGGACACCAACAACAACAUGAAGCUUGGCAUCACACUUCGAAGAGCUAAAGGGCUUAGAAUGGAAAAAUAUAUUUAAGAUUUAUAUACAUACCUAAAGACCUUGUACAUGUCCUUGCAUUCAGAUUAGGUUCAGUUGUUUUUAGUUUUAGUUUUAUGUCUCACAUAAUUUGCUUUUUUUAACAAGUUUUACGGGUUUUCUUCAAGCCUUUUUGGAGUUUAUAUUUUUCCAACAAUUUCUUUUCAAGUUUUAAGGGCUAUGUUUCUAGUGGCAUUCCAAGUCCUCCUUUGGUAGUAUUUUAGUCUACAGGUGGGUAUGAUAUCCUUUCAAGUUUAGAAACACAUUUUAUACUUAUAUCGGAGCACUAGAUAUGAGAAAGCAAACAAUAAUGAAUUUACCCAAGUUCCUGAUUUAUUUUGAUUUCUUUUUUCUCUUCUGGUGUCUUCUUCUGAAUCUAAGUUCUAUCCAGAAAAUCUAAUUGUAUAGUUAAAGAUGUGGCAUAUAAUGGAAACAUGUGCGCAUUUGUGGUAUAUUAGAAGACUGCUGGAAAAAAAAAACAUGCACAGAAUUGAAGGGGCCUAUUAUAUGACAUGCUCAGCAACAAUUUGUAUCCUAUGCCCCAUCAUCUAGAUAAAUAAAGGGUUUAACUUAAGAAGAUUGUCAAUAUUAAUGAAAAACCAAAUAAUAACUAAUCAUUACACCAAUCAUAACACUGAAAACAUUGUACUACAGAAUUUCAUGAAAUAAUUUGUGACUGUAGCAUGUAUAAAUAGCCAAUUAUUAAAAACCAGUAUAGGUUUCUAGCAAAUAUUCAUACCUAAACAAAUAGGACAUUGAACUUCUUUGCGUAUGUCCGCUAAUUUCACUAGGAUAAAUCUGUGAAGCAGGGAAGAGAGUAAAAAUUAUUUCCAAAUGAGGUACAACCAUAAAAAUAUCUUGCAGUAUAAAUCAUGAAGAUACAGGGACAUACGUUGGUGGAUGAUAAAAUUUAUGCAGAUCAAUAAGUUUCAUAGCAUACUAAAGAAAUUCAUAGCUUACAAAUGAAUUCCAUACAAUUCAGAUAACCAAAAUAGAUGAAAAAUAAUCAGUGCCUCUUUAAGCUUCAGCAACUCAAUGGCUCAAGCUUUCACUAGAUGAUAUGCAAGAGUCAGCAUAUAACACCAAGAAUUUCUCAACAGGUGUCAGCACAAGCACGUUAACUAUAUGAUGCAUAGACACAAAUUAGCAUUUAUAUAAGCCCUAGCUGCAACUUCCAUACAAUGACUUUGUUCAGAACUACACAUUCUAUAGAACAGUGAAACAAAAAUAUACUUGGGCAUACAUGUGGGUAAGCCACACAGAAAAAACAACACACAAUCACAAAAAAGUUGAGACAAGUCAACAAUCAAUCAGGUUUUCAACCAAAGAAGGUAGAAGAUUAAAGCUUCAUUUUCCAUUAACAUAAAAAAACAAUGCCAUCUCAGUGAAAGAUAACAUAAUACAGUCUCAGCAAUGCAUGCUUAGUUAGAUAGAAUACCAAGGUACAAUCAAGGUCUGACCCUACAUAUGCUUGCUAUCAUGUAGGAGAUUUUACUCUGUGGUCCAUUGGUGGGAAGAAAUUUGUCCAUUUACAUCUUUGCUUGACAACAAGAAAAGGAUAAACUGCAACAGGGAAGCCUCAUUUCUUUAGGAGAUUGGACUGCUAAACAACAAGCAAGGCCAUGAAAAUAUUUCAUACCAUGAACAAAUAUCAAGGUCAACCCUCAAAUUCAGCAAGCAAAGUGAAGAAUUCAAGAGGUAACGGGACCCAAACACAGUUCUUUCAACUUGGACAGGACAAAAGGUAGGGUAUUAUGGAAGGAAAUAUGGUGGCCACUAAGCUAAAAGGAGCACCCAGCAAAUAUACUGGUAGCAACAAUAACUUGCAUGCACCAAGCACUUGAAUCCAUGGUUCACAAAAACAUGGCCAGGGAAUGGCAAUUUACGAACCAAACCCACCAACCCACCAGAGUUUGUUCAACUGAAAUGGGUUUGGAUAAGGGUUUUUUUUUUAUUUUAUUUUAUUUUUAAUUGAGACAAGUUUGGUUCACUUAAGACCACCUGGUUAUAAGCUGGUGGAGAAUCCGUUUGGAACCAAGAUCCAACAAGUUACCAUAGGUUGAACAAGCCCUCAAAACUCAGGCCUAUGAAUGUCAUUUUCACUCCCUGAGGAAUAUGAAUGUCAAGUGUGAAAUCCUAAUUGAGUUGACAAGUUCAGCCUGGGAUCAUAUAAAACAAAAUCUGUAGGAUAUGAUUCUAUUAUUGGGGGUUUGUUUCUGAGCAGACCUCAACCCAAUCAGACCCAGCCCAUGGCCAACCCCUAUACAUGAAAAUACAUGUAGAAAGAAAAUCUGAAAGUAACAAGAAACGCUUGAGGUUAAGGGCCUAGAGAUAUUAGAUGCAAAUACAUUAUAUGCAAUUUUACAGUUCUGAGACAUAGAAAUGGAUUAAAUACUGUAUAUAGUAUACUGUAUUAGUUGGGCAUAAAUAUAUCCUCAUCUAGGCAUCAACAAAAAUAUAUGAAAAAUGUAACAAAGUCUGGUCACCAACAUAGAGAAAACACCAAAAGAAGAUUAAUAAUUCAAAAUUUGGAAGAUGCACAACACACUAUAAUGUACUAAUCUAACACCUUUGAGUUGAUAUUGUGUACCGGUUCGAGAUUUCAAAGUCACAAUAGUUUUGAUCCCCAAAGAUAUAAAAGAAAUGAGCAUAUCUAGAUGUUCAUAAGUAUAUCUUCCUCACUACAGAGAUGAAAGGUGACAUAAGAAAAUCCAUGAAAAUUGUUAAGUUGUAUACAAAGAAAAACUGUUCACCGAGUUUGGUACCUCAAUUCAGGAUUAAGUAACUCUUUAAUGAUUCACAAAUUGCUGCACUAGCCCAACCCUUCUAAUUUAUUUAAGAACUUCCCUGCAGUACCAUGAAGCUUGAAUACAGAGUGGCUGGACCAAUACUUUAGAUCCGACAAAUGGAACAGCAAAUAUAUAAAAAGAGCUGGAGCACAAAGAAUUGUUUGUAUGGUUAAAAUCAAAUCUCACACACCGUUUAGUUAAAUGGUGUACAUUUCGCAUCCCAUAGCUGUUUUUUAAAGUAUGGGGAGAUGAGGAUGUUAGGGUCAGCAUGCAGUGAAACUAGGAAGAAUGAAGUUAUCAAUGAGACGAGAAAAAUGCUCUUUAUGUGAUGUAGAUGACAGGUGAAGUGAGCAAAAUCAUUAAAUAUGGUGGAAAGCCAUGCAUGUUACACAAAGAAGGCUUGAAAGGUGGGGUGAUAAAGAAGAAUUAGAUGGAAUUAGUGAGUACCAAUUUAUAGAUUCUUUGAUUUCAGAGAACUUUGAACAUGAAAUAGCAUAAGUGGAACAUGUAAGGCCUAGCUGAAUAGCUUCGAUGGAUGAACCUCAAUUUAUUAUGUUUAUAUAUGUAUUUAUUCUAUGUUAUCUUCUUUUCUCUUCCAAUAUAAAUAAUCCAUGGAACAGAAAAUUGAUAAAACAUCACGAAUCAUAACAUUGACCAACAAAGUUCAGUACUGAUAGUAUGCAAUAACAAAAAAUAAUGGUUAAAAAAAAGGAGUUUGAAAUUUUACGAACAGAACAAUGGAGCAAAAGCAAGAUUGAAGCAUGUCUGUAUAGAUAAUGCAUCAGACAAAAAACAUAUCCACCAUCUGCUUAUUUGACUGUAACUCCAGAACCAUGAAAAAUGAUCAUAAUCUUUCUGCCCUGCAACUCGAAAGUUGAAAAGCUGGAAAGAUAGCACUACCCGACCAUAUGAAAUAUCCAGAACUGCACGGAUUAUAAACUAUCAAAGAACGCCAACCUAGAAAUGAUCAACGGAGAACUAGUCGUACUAACGACAAUAACUUUAAAGGCCUGUCGUACGUAAAGAUCCACUACACCAUCUAUCUUCGCUGCUCCCUCAAUUCAACUUAUGGAUCCUCUGCGAACGUAAGCCUCAGCGUAUCCUAAAUUAAAUUAGCUUACACGUCAUACUGGGUUUCCUAACUCAAAGCCCGCCAUCUCGUUGUCGUCACCCUUCUACUGCUCCCGCCCCUGCCUUCAACGACCAUCAGGAUCACCAACACGAGGAAGUGAUCACGAAUACACACCCUCACACUCCUCUGAAAAAGAGGAAGAAGAAGGAAAAUACAUCCAUCUGAAGAAAGAAAAAGAAAUGCAUACGAUCACGAAUGUGGAAGGGCGUCAAAGCUCGUGCAGAUGACUAUUACAAGAACACAUUAGUCGAAAACAGGAACAAUAGAAGAAAACGAGAUGGCGACCUGAUACAACCCAGGAGAUCGGAUCUACUGAACAAACCAACCCACGAACACGAACAAAAAUAACAUGCAUGUGGCCGAGAGACGGCCAUCAUCCAUAAUGUUCAUCCCGGCGAAGGGAAAAGAACAGAGCAAAAACCCAGCUUACCCCCAACUUCCAUCGUAGCAAAAAACAAUACUCCACCACCUCGCCGGCCCCGAUCAGAAAUACGACAAGGAACGACGAGGAUAGGAGAGAGAAGAGAGGGCGGAGGCGAGAGAUAGAGAGGAAAACGAAGAAGGGGAACCUACUCUUCUUUGUCGGCAUCGUCGUCAGAGGAUUGGCUGCCACCUUCGCCAUCGGAAUCUGAACAAGAACAAAAGAAAGAAGAUGACACGAGACCGAUGUAUGGUGAGAUCGAGAGGAGGCGGAGAGAAAAAAGAGACGGAGAAAGGUUGAGGCUAUCGACUUUACCGCCAUCUUGUUCCUUCGGUAGCUCCGGCGGUGGAUUGGGCUGCGGCGGCUGCUCGCCGUCGGCCUGCGGCUGCAGCUGGUGCUGCUGCUGGGACGGCAGCGGAGGCGGCAAGUGGGGGGAGUCGGUGGAGCCGCCGAGGUGGUCGGAAGGCGGAGGGAGGGGGCGCUUCUGGGCGGGCAUUUUUUUCUCUCUUUUUCUCGUAGGUGUUUUGGGAGGGUAUGAGGUGGGAGAGGGGAGGGUGAAGGAGCUCCGACGCUCCUCUCUUCGUUUUGGUUGGGGUGGGUUAGAGGCGGUCCACAGGAGGAACGGCUGUGGUUGCGUGAGAGUGAAGGGAGGACGAGAUGAGAAGGGUGGGGGAUGGGAGGCAAGCGAGGAAGAGAAGGGGAGGGGAGGGAGUGGUCCGAGAGACAGAAGAGGAGGGGGGUUGGGGGGAGCGCUCGCGGUCUGACCGGAUUUAUCGAUCACAUUUAGGCGACAAAGCACAUGCAGCGGCGCACCUAUUUCUCUUCCGCCCCUGCGCUUCUAUUCCUUAUAUUUUAUUCUUAUUUCUUACCCACUUUUAAUUCUUUUCUUUUUAUUUUGGGAAUAGGAUGCAACGCCAGUUUGGAGACGCCUGGGUGCGCGCUGCUGGGAUUGGUGGGUGGCAGUGGGGACCGCUUGAAGUAGAGAUGAACAGGUGGUGGUACGAGCGGCGUCGCAGUGGCUCGUUUCUGUAUGAGAGAUGGAAAGCCGGACUGUGGGCGCCACGGUGGGAGGGUGAACAGGACGGGGCCUGGCGAACCCGGAAGGACGACGCGGUUUGACCAGUGUCGGGGUUGUAUCUGGACUCACUUUCCUUCGCGUGAAUCUGAUGGGGUUCGGGGUGCUUUGACAUCCGUGUGGUAGGUGAUCUAAGGGUGAAGUUGCACGAAGGAAGCUGAAUCCUUCUUUCUUUUGUGCAAAAGAUACAAACCCGUCGGGUUUGACCAGGCGCUUUUUUUUUUUUUCUCUCUUUUUGAUCGUUCAGGAUCACACAAUUCUAGAAUGGAUACAUUCGAUAGAGUCAGCAAACCGCAUGUUUUAGGUCCAUGGGAUGGAAGAUUAGCAUAUGUGUCCCAUCUGGACACUCGGCCAGGGAGGAUGCCAUCACCUUGCUAUUUACCUCUCGAUGGACAUGAACCUCCUAAAUAUUUUCAAAACUACUGAUUGCUCUCCAGAUGUCUUUGAGAAGUAGACGGGCCCCCGAUGAGGAGAUAGCCUCGAAAUCCAUCUGCUUGCUAUAGCGGAAUCCCCCACUAGGAUGAUGCACUUGGCUGGAAGAACAUUUACGACAACCCUCAUUCCCUCCCAAGCUCCUCUCAACUCUGCACGUGGAAUUACGAUCUCAUAGAGAUGACACCCUCCGAUCCCAAUGAGUGCGCAGUUUUAAAAUAACAUGAUUAAAUAUUGUAACAACUUUCUUAUAUGUGUCAUUAUUGUGUGCCUGUUCUGAUCGUAUGCUAUGUGCAUGCUUAUUUGUUUGGAUGUGAUCUUUCAUUUUGAUUAAAACUUUUUAUUAUUUAUAUGAUCAGAUUUAAUUUUUUUUUGGAUUUGUUUGGAUUAUCCAAUAGGAUUUGACUGAUGUUCUUGCUAACUUUGCAGAUUGGGCAGACUAUUUGAGCAUGAUCAAUAUAAUGCUAGCACUCUCCAAGUGUGAAUCAUGUGGAAGGAGGGAGGGAAAAAAAAAAAAAAGAGGCCUCUAUAGAUUUUUUUUUUUUUUCUUUGGCUAUAAUAAGAGGAAAAAGAAGAAGAAGAAGAAGGAGAAGAUAAAACCCACCUACCUAACCCCUACCACAUUGUCCCACCAUCCAUUAUAUUACAGAAAAAGGAUGACCAAGCCGCCUUGUAACAAAUAUCCAGACGGCAACCAAAAACCUGCACUGCGUCUUCCAUUACAUCCAUCAGCCACAGAUCCUGAGAUCCCUCCAACCAUUGAGAUAUAAGCAAGGAAAGCUUUAUGACGCAGCCCCUCAAUUGGUCUACACACCCAUCUGUCCAGCCGAAAGGGUCACUCGUGUGCUGUGUCUGCCAAGAAAGAUAGUUCCUGUAGCCUCUGUUUUGUGUUUGGAAUUUUCCAUCAGCAAGUGAAGUAGAACUACAUAGGUCCUAAUCAUAUAUCCAUUCUUUGUCUUCAGGCUUCAGCCUCCCUUGGGUCAGUCAACAUGAGGUACUACUGGCAUGCUGCCAUUUUGCCUUCUGCACUGACUAAAAUCAAGUGUUUUAGAUCAGAUUGUUUAUAAGAGAUAUCUGAAUCUUGCUCAUAACGUAACAUGUUCUUUUUUCUCCACAAUUUCCACCACUGAAGUUUAACUCAUUGGACUUGUCUGACUAUAUAAAUUUUCGGCUAUGUAUGUACCAAGUUAAGUUAUAAAUACCUAAAGUUUUUCAAUUUUGCCCACUGCAGUGAAAUGUUGUUUUAUGUGGUCCUAGAAAACGAGAAGUCACUGGAGUUGAUAUUCGUGAGAAACAAAAAGGAUGUUCCUUUGAGCUGGACCUUCCUCACCCAGAAUACCAGAUGCUCACAGAAAGGUUCAUGUGCAUCCGCUUAGGAAUGACAGAAGGUAUAGAAAGAGUCGGGUACUUCAGACAAGAAAUUAUUAAUUGUGCAUUUCAAGUUUUAUUCAGCUUUCUUUUUUUUUUUAAUUAACGUCUGUAACCCUUUUCUUUUUCAGAGAAAAAGAAUGUCACCCAGUUAAAUUUUUAAAGUUCGAGCUGCCAGCAAAGUUAACGGAUGGAUGACAAACAUGUAAUAAGGCUUCAAAUUUUUUGUCAUCUACAAUAUUAAAAGUCAGUUUUGCUGCUAAUUACCUUCCUUAUGGUACUCUCUGAAAUAUGUACGACUAAUUUCUAAUGGACAUCUUAUUAUAUGGGAAUAUUCUUAGUCUGUAGAGAAUUCCAAUCUAGGCUGACGUUUUGCGAAAUCUUACUUGGUAAUAUAAAAAGGUUUAUUAUCUUAUGAACAGAAAGUUUUGGUGCUUCCUACAUGUUAGGAAGAGUUUCAUUUCUCAAAUGCUGUCUUCAUAUUCUCAGCUGUUUGCAGGUACUAUUUCCACUUCUUCUAUUCUCUCUCUCUCUAUCUCAUUCCUUUUUUCCAACUUCUUCUUCUAUUUCCAGUUCAUUUGGCAGUUGUCAUUCCUGCAAUGGUGCAUGGAAUCUUAUUUGUUUAACUAAGAAGUCACAUACAUUACUUUGCAGCUUGAUAGCACUUCAAUCAUAUGCCCGGUAUUUUUUACGGAGUUCCGUGGAAGGAUCCAUGAGUUAUCAUUUCAACUCUUUUGACUAUUUAUUUUUGAAAGGUCUGCGUAAAUGUACUAUUUAUUCCCGAAUAUUGAUACACUAUAAAUUUGCAUUUUGUCUGUUAUGAGUUGAAGUUCUUUGAUCAUCGUGAUUGCCAUGGAAGUCUUCGUGUUGACAAGCUGAAUAUAAUAAACUGGCUUUCCUUUCUUAAGAAACGCAUAGAAUUUUCUUUGCUGUUGAAACUUGAAAGUGUGAAAGCAAGUGCUAAAAUGAUGAAAUUUAUGUACGUGCUGUAAAUCCACUGUGUGGGUAUACCGUGAAGGGUAAAUCACAUGCCUUUUUUUUCACGAGCUGAUUAAUAUAUGAGAGUUGGAUUCAAUCCAAAAAAAAAAAGAUAGAGUUGGAAAGUGCAAUAAUUUACAGUAUUAGAGUAGUUGUACUGAACUGAAAUAGUGAUGCAGCUGUAAUGACGAUGAAGUGAAACUCUUGUCCUUUUGUCUAAGCCCAUUUAGGGAUAGCACUCUUGCUAUCACAGUACAGAGCUGCAUUUUUCGACUGCUUGACAGAUAGGUAUAAAUUUUAGUGACAAAGCCAACUAAUCUUAAUCCCACUGUAAACAAAACUACCACAUACUCAAUUUUAGUUUUAAAUUGAGAUGCAACAUCUUGUUGUGAUCCUUUCAUCCUGAGAUAUAAGUAUGCAUACAUCAUGUAAAAAUCAGUAAUUAAUUGCUGCUGCUUUUUUUAUCAUGAUUUAAUCUAUGUUUGCACAGCAGUGUAACUUUUGUCCGGAGAAGGAUCUUAACCUUAAUUUUUCCGAGUUUUCGCUGAAAUAGAAAUUUUUCUGGACAGGCUUGAGCUGAAACCAACAUCUGGCUACGAGUUACAGCGAGAUCUGGACAGUUUCAGCUAAAGCUGACAAGAUCCUUCCAGUUUCAAUUGUUUUAGUGGCUUAAUCUAUUUUGGUCAAAACUGAUGAUGGAUGGAUGCUAUAUUUGUGUUGGUCUUUUGGUGUCAUUCUCGGAUCACUUCUUUGUUUCUCUUUUGACUAUAGAGUAGUAGAUGACAAGAAUGGUGUGGCUAUUUGAUGUGGCAUUGAGUUCAAACACCUAAUGAUUCACUUUUCCAAGCUAAAUGCUUUAGCAUUUAGAUUUUUCAUCUAUGCAUCUAACCAAUCAUGUUUUUAAAUGAAUGCUUCAUUUUUUGAGCAUUCUUUUUUGUUGCCAAUACAGAUAAAGCUCUCUGACUACCGUUUUCUUUAAAAAGGAGCUCUCCAAUCAUAUGAGAGGCAUGUAAAUAGCCACAGCCACCUACCUGCAGCUUGGAGUUAACUUCUGAAACAUUUAUUACGUCUGGUGCAUCUCUGUUCUAGUUUGUCUCCACAUAGCAAUUCAAGCAGCUAAAUUGGAGUUCAAAAAUAUCUCAUGUUAGGUGGAAGACCACUAUUUAUGUAUUUGGAGAAUCUUCUUCUUCUUCUUCUUCUUCUUGGAGUGAUUUUUGUAUGUGGAGCAUCAAGACCAGGGAACUAAUAUCUGAAGAAAAUUUCCCAGACUUUGUUCUUCCAGCUAGUUCCUGGCCACAAAGUGGAAAUAUCUCUGGUGGGCCUCACCCAACCAGUCAAGUUUCUGGCUUGGAGUGUUCACGUGAGCUUUUUAUUGACUACUCUUCCCUGCAGCGGUUCAAGGAUCACUAAAAUCAUAUUUUCUAUUUCAUUUGGUUUCUCACAACCGUAAUCAAGGGUCAAAUGUGGAUGGACAUAGAUAUUUUUUUUUUAAUUCAAAAAAUUAAUUAUGAAUUUAUCAUUCAGAUAUGCUCGUACUAUUCAAUGUUCAUUUUAAAAUUAGUUACUUAUGGGAACUUUAUAUCACAUAUCUAUGAAAUGUUAAUUGUCAUGUGAAACAUUUUGAAUCAAAAUGUGAAUGAAACAAAGACCUCUUCAUUCUUUUAGCAAGAGUAAAAAGCCUAAAAUAAAUAAAUGGGGCAUCCCAACUCCACUUUCUAUGUGGAGACCGCGUACGGAGUUUUUGGUGCCAUAAGCUAAUCCAUAAUUUGGUGGCAUAAGGAUCACAUGAUGAGAUAAUUUAUGUGCAUGGCACUUGAUUUAUCCCUAAGUAUAAUAGACACAUCUUGGAAUAGCUAACCAAAGAAAGGUAACGUUCUUGAUGCAUGAAUAUUGGAGCCAUUUGUUGGAGAAAAUGUAGAAAGUUAGGCGAAGUUAUCUUGCAUCCUCUGAAGCUCUUGUUCCACCUAUUCCCUCUUCAUCUCCUGCCAGCAGAUCAGAUCUGUCCUCUCCAAAGUUCAGGUCUGGUAUGGGUUAAGUGUUCUGUAAGUAUUGAGCUCAAAUGGCACUGUUGUGCUAUGUAGUGUCUGUAUGUAUCCAAAUUUGCUUUGAUGCUGGCCACCUGCUUUCAAAUUUAAAUUUGAGGCUGCAAUCUAAUUACGUUUAAGUCAUUGUGUUAUGUAGUGUAUGUUGUAUCAUUUUCGUUCUGUUGGGGGAUACCCACCGGCCGACCGACCGACUAUCGGAGGGCCCGACCGACUGGAGGGCCCGACCGACCGAAAAGCCCAACCGACUGGACGGCCCGACCGCCCCCGUUGGACGACUCUGACUGGCCGAAAGGCCGACCGAUCGUCGGUCGGCCGACUAACGGGAUCCAUCAGCNNNNNNNNNNNNNNNNNNNNNNNNNNNNNNNNNNNNNNNNNNNNNNNNNNNNNNNNNNNNNNNNNNNNNNNNNNNNNNNNNNNNNNNNNNNNNNNNNNNNNNNNNNNNNNNNNNNNNNNNNNNNNNNNNNNNNNNNNNNNNNNNNNNNNNNNNNNNNNNNNNNNNNNNNNNNNNNNNNNNNNNNNNNNNNNNNNNNNNNNNNNNNNNNNNNNNNNNNNNNNNNNNNNNNNNNNNNNNNNNNNNNNNNNNNNNNNNNNNNNNNNNNNNNNNNNNNNNNNNNNNNNNNNNNNNNNNNNNNNNNNNNNNNNNNNNNNNNNNNNNNNNNNNNNNNNNNNNNNNNNNNNNNNNNNNNNNNNNNNNNNNNNNNNNNNNNNNNNNNNNNNNNNNNNNNNNNNNNNNNNNNNNNNNNNNNNNNNNNNNNNNNNNNNNNNNNNNNNNNNNNNNNNNNNNNNNNNNNNNNNNNNNNNNNNNNNNNNNNNNNNNNNNNNNNNNNNNNNNNNNNNNNNNNNNNNNNNNNNNNNNNNNNNNNNNNNNNNNNNNNNNNNNNNNNNNNNNNNNNNNNNNNNNNNNNNNNNNNNNNNNNNNNNNNNNNNNNNNNNNNNNNNNNNNNNNNNNNNNNNNNNNNNNNNNNNNNNNNNNNNNNNNNNNNNNNNNNNNNNNNNNNNNNNNNNNNNNNNNNNNNNNNNNNNNNNNNNNNNNNNNNNNNNNNNNNNNNNNNNNNNNNNNNNNNNNNNNNNNNNNNNNNNNNNNNNNNNNNNNNNNNNNNNNNNNNNNNNNNNNNNNNNNNNNNNNNNNNNNNNNNNNNNNNNNNNNNNNNNNNNNNNNNNNNNNNNNNNNNNNNNNNNNNNNNNNNNNNNNNNNNNNNNNNNNNNNNNNNNNNNNNNNNNNNNNNNNNNNNNNNNNNNNNNNNNNNNNNNNNNNNNNNNNNNNNNNNNNNNNNNNNNNNNNNNNNNNNNNNNNNNNNCGAGCAUUUGGUGUGUUGGAACAAUUGGAAGUAACAAUGGAAAUGCUUUCUCUGGCCAUGCAAGUUCAGACCGACACACACUAUUUCCAUGCCCUAUAGCAACCAUUUUAAAUCUUGAUGACAAGCUCGUGCAUUCCAUUAGAGAUGAGAUUGUCGAGUAGCAAAUCACUUGGGCGUUCUAAUGUGGUUCAUUCCCCUUUGACUUUGCAUUUGAAGUUGCAGAUACAAAUUAUCAUAAUACCAUUCUCCUUCUUUCUUAAGAGCAUAGUAUUUUUUUUUUUUUUAAUUAGGUAUGGACUUCUAACAUAAAAAAAGAUAGCCCAUGAUAGGAUUUGAAAAGAGUUAGAUGUUUGUAACAUUGUUUCUGCAUGUGAAAUGACUCUUUCCAUGUUUCGAACCUAUGACACAUGGGACACAAUACAUCAUUUUAUCUUUUUGUCAAGGAUCAGCAUUUCUAUAGAUGUUUAACAUCUUGACAAAAAAUACUAACUUAAAAAGAAUUACAUAAUCAAAGCAAAAAUGACCCUUAAAUAUAUUUUCAGUUAAAACCACUUUACAAUUAUGCAAGGUAUCCAAUGAAAAACCAUUAGAAUCAUAUGCAAAUAUUGAGUAUGGAUAUGGGUUCAUGAACCCCAUAGGUUAUGAUCUUUAAAGCUAUCCAAGUAAUUUAGAUAUUUUUUUUACACUGACCUCAUAAUACGUAGAGUUGGUCUUAAAAUUUGGUUAGGUGCUAUUUACUAUAUACGUGAAAUUAUAUAUUUGGCCCUAUAGUCACUAAGCCUUUUUAGAAGAAAAAGAAAUAAUAAAAUAAAUGAACCAACACAUCAUUUUGGAAAAAAUUGAAAUGUUAGAAUAAUGAACAAAAGCGAGUAGAUAUGAUGAGACAACAAAGUUUAUGAGAGUUACAUUAAUUUAACAUUUUUUUUUUUGACGAUGUAAUUCUUAAAGUUUCCAAAGGUAAAUUUUCUUAAUAGAUUUUUCUUCAUUUUGAGGACUAUUUGGGUAAGUUCUAUGACAUUCAAUGGGAUCUAGAAAGAUAGAUUGAAGAGCGGAAAGGAAGGGAGAGAGUGUGAGAUGGGAGGGAGAGCCACCAAUGCCUAUCUCAUAAGAGAAAUUAUUAGUUAGAACUGUUCUAUCAUGUGUAUUUUAUACCAUGCAAUAAAAAGUUACUGUAUCAAUCAAAAAAAUAAUUUUUUUAUUUAAAUUAACAAAAGUCCGUUACAAUAAAUUUUUUCUCUCCAAAACUUUCAAAUCAAGCUUGGAUAAUCAUGCCCUUUUUUCAAUAAUAAAUAAUAUGAUAAUUUUUCAAUAGAUAAUACAAGGUAUAUAUAUAUGGUAGAAUGGCUCUAAUUAAUAAUUUUUUAUCCCCAUAUAAGGCUCUUUUUUUAUGUGGGAGGAAGUUAUUUUCUAAAAAAAAAAAUUCUUCCCACAAAUCAAAGAGUCCUUAGUGUUCUCACACUCUCUACUUUUUUUAAAAAAUAAUUAAUUUUUCAUGACUUGUGUAACAGUUGAAAUGCCAAAAUAAUAGUUGAAAUAGUAUGUAAAAGAUGCCAUGAAUUCAAACUUUUUCAAUUUCCACAGAAUCCUCAUUAAAUUCCUCUUUAUAGUCUUUUUUUUUNNNNNNNNNNNNNNNNNNNNUUUUUUUUUUGUCAGAAUGAAACAAAAUAAAUUGAAACAAUUUCAUGAGGAAGACAUGUAAGUACUUAAUUUAUGCAUUUGUUUCUGAAAUGUAUUUUAUAUACAAAAUCUUUAGUAACAGUGCUGUGCAUAUGCGUGCGUUAGAUAUAUAAAAGUUAAUCCAAGAUGUAUAGAUAUUAGCUAAUACAAAAAUUUUCAAGGUAACUAUGUGCCUUAAUUGCAAAGAAAGGCAAGAAUUGAAAAAAACUGUAAUGAUAGUUAAUUUUUUGAGAGAUCAAUAACAAAUUAAUAAGACAAGAAAAUAAGUUUAUAUCUCCGAUAUGUUAGUAUGUAUUGGCUGGAUACAGCAGUCAAAAUUAUAUUUAUACAUGUCAGCAGGGAGUGUUCCUCAGGUGCAUGCACCAUGUGCAAGUGAACCAAGGCAAAUCUCGAAACAUGUGCACGGUGGAGAGCGCGCAAUCGGAAAUCGGUGAAAUAUAAGAGUAGCGUGGCGUGUUAUUCACCGUGGGAUUUGCGCGGUCCAAUUGCACCUGGUGCAUGCAAUACGGAGGCGUUCCCCAGGCAAUACGGAGGCCGAACGAACCGCCUUAUGGUGGCUGAUAUUGAAAGCCGGGCCUCCUAAUUCCUGAACACCAAGAGAGCGAGAGAGAGGAAACCCGCCCUCUCCCUCCUCCGGAUGUGGUUGAGCCGCCUGAAGGAGACGCUCCGCCCCUGCUCCAACGUUUCGUCCUCCACCGCCACCGCCACCGCCACCGCCACCGCCACCGCUUCUUCUUCUCCUUCCAAUUCGGAUCCCUCAUCCCAGGCCCCUCUUACUUUGAGGAAGCCCCCAAAGUCCUCCCUGUCCCAACAACUCCAGCGCCUCGAAUUCCCCUCCGCCGAACGCCCGCUUUUGCGAGACGUCGUCCAAGAAAAAGAAACCAGAAAAAGAGGAGGAGGAGGAGAGGAGGAGGAAGAUGGGGAUGGAGAGAGCUCCCCUCUCCCCGCUCUCUUUAAUCGAGAGACGCUUCUUCCCCAGCCUUUCACUUCGGAGGUCAGAGGGCCCUACGAGCCUCUGGUCCUCUCCGCUUCCGGCGAAACCCCCGUCAUUCAGGUACUUCUUGCUCCUUUUUCCCACUCUCUCUGUCUUCAAUUGCUCGCUGUUUCUUUUCCCCCCUUGUCGCUGUUCAAGAUUCUUGAAUAGAUGUAUCCAAGAACAGUUUGUGAUACCGAGACGCAAACGAUGCUAGCGUUUUCAGAGAUUAAGAUGGAGUUUCAUAAGUCAAAUCUUGCCAUCUUCCUCUUCAUCCAAUUUCCUUCCGAGUUUAGGAGGAAUUUUGCCAAGAAUUUAGCGUUCAAGUUAACGUGAAGUCGACAGCCGGUUAUAUAAUAAAGAACUUGGGUGGUUAUGAUGAGGGAUGUGGAUUGGCGGUCUGGACAAACUAACAAUUAGUGCUUUGUGAAGGAACUAGCCAUCACUAAUUAUAAUUCAAUUACUCAUGCUGGACGCAACCGUUCUUGGACUUUCGGAUGCGACUCUUUCUUUAUGGGUGGAAUAAUCCUCCGCUGGUGUUUCAUCCCAUAAAUCCUCCUUGAUCAGUCCCAUUUUUUUAAAGAAAAUUAUGGUAUUUGAGUCCUAAGAGUUCAAAUUGUGAUACAUACUCCUUGACUGAAGGAGGGUUAAAUCCAUAGUUGCAUGGUUGUCUAUGCUCCAUAACAGGCUGGAGUUAAACAUCCGAAUUUCAAUUUGUGUUCACCUCUUUUCGUGUGUUACAAAUCUCAGAUCAUUAAUCAUACUUUUAGUAAAACAAAAAAGGCUUCCUUUUCGACUCUUUCACUCAAAUACAUUUAUUGGUGUUCUGUAGAUGGAAACAAACCUUCUCACGAAAGCCAAAACCUUGCUCAGAGAGGUAGCAAUCUUAUUGUUCAAACUGAUAAGCUCUCAGAUUCAAUUACUUUUUCAGUCCUAUUUAUCAUGGGUUAUGUGUAGUGGAGUUAUAUGUAGGGACAACCUGGAUUUUAUCAGAGACGAGUUUAUUUCAUCCUUGGUUUUAACCAAUUUCAAUUAUGGAAUGAAAAGAUACAUUUGGUGUCAAUUGUUGAAAACUUAAAGCAACCUAGUCUUCUGGUCCACCUUUACAUUGAAUGAAGCACAAUGCCUGCCAAUUUUAUGUAUUCAGCCCGCACCUCCUGCUGGCAUAAGGCAACAUCAGUUUAUUUGUGUUGCCUUAUUUGGGCAUUGUCAUCUUGCUUCCAUGCAUUGGUGUCAAUGCUUAACAGUGUCAGCCUCAACCAUGGUAACCAACAAAACAAGAUUCAAUGCUAACAAGUAUUUUUUGAAUAUAUUGAGAACAUGAUUUCGUGAGCAUUGAUGCCUUUUUUUGUUCCUUGGUAUGACAUCAACCAACAUUGUAUCUCUUUAUGUUGUUGUAGUCCUUAUAUGAGAUUCUUCAAUGGUACAUCAUCAAUCAAACCUAUGCUUUAAUUCUUUAACAUGUUGACAACAAUUUAUGUCACUUUUAGUGCAAAUUUUUGUUUGACUUCAAAGUGUUAGAACUAGGUUGAUGCAUAGAGAACGCAUAAUGUUAUUUUCUAAUUGUUUUUGACUGAUCAGAACUUGUCAUGUGGCAAGAACAUAAUCCACAUGUCAGGACAACAGGGUCAAGUCUUUUAGGUAAUCUUGUUCACUCAUCAUUCAGUGACUCUACCAUACUGCUAUAGUGCUAGAGAAAUUCUGUUAUGCAGUAUGAUUUUGCCAAAAUGCAUUCAAGAUUCCAGUAGGAACCUUGUUUAGUUUGGGAGUCCAGUCUUAGUAGUAAGGUUAUGAUUUCUCAUCGAGGAACCUUUUUGCACAUUGUUUGCUAGUAUAUUUUUCACAUUGAAAACCAGUAAGGUCUAACUCUUCCUUGCAGGUUCCUGCAUCCAUCAGUUGUAGACUUCUUGAACAUCAAAAAGAUGGCGUGAGGUUUCUAUAUAGUCUGUACAAGAACAACCAUGGUGGUGUACUUGGAGAUGAUAUGUAAGCCUUUUUCAUUAGUAUUGUAUAGUCACUCUUAUUUUUGUUGUCAUAGACACAAUGCUGGUGAUUGAUCUUAUCAUUUACUGACUUUGACUUUUUAUUUUACCUUGAAUUAGGGGUUUGGGGAAAACCAUCCAGGCUAUUGCUUUUCUGGCUGCUGUGCUUGGAAAGGAUGCUGAACAUGGGGACCGUCAGUUGGACAAGAAGGAUCAUAUGAUCAAGAAGGGACCUGUACUGAUUGUCUGUCCCACUUCUGUUAUUCAAAACUGGGAAAAUGAGUUUUCUGAGUGGGGAGACUUUAGUGUUGUUGUUUAUCAUGGACCUAAUCGUGAAUUGAUUCUUGAGAAACUUGAAACUCGAGGAGCUGAGAUACUUAUAACUAGUUUUGACACUUUCAGAAUUCAUGAUAAAACUUUGUCUGAGAUUCCCUGGGACAUUGUCAUUGUUGAUGAAGCGCACCGUCUGAAGAAUGAAAAGUCUCAAUUAUAUAAAGCAUGCUUAGGAAUAAAAACCAGAAAAAGGCUUGGUCUUACUGGAACCAUAAUGCAGAACAAGAUUUUGGAGUUAUUUAAUCUGUUUGAUUGGGUUGCACCCGGGUCCUUGGGAACUCGGGAACAUUUUCGAGAUUUCUAUGAUGAACCCUUAAAGCAUGGUCAGAGGUUAAGUGCUCCUGAAAAGUUUGUUCAAGUUGCUGAUGAGCGCAAGCAGCAUCUUGUUGCAGUUUUGCGGAAAUAUUUGUUAAGGAGGACCAAGGAGGAGACUAUUGGGCAUCUUAUGCUAGGGAAAGAAGAUAAUGUGGUUUUUUGUGCAAUGAGUGAGUUGCAAAAGCGUGUUUACAAGAGGAUGCUGGAACAGCCUGAUUUCCAAUGUCUCAUAAACAAGGAUCUUCCUUGUAGCUGUGGGAGUCCUUUAACUCAGGUUGAAUGCUGCAAGAGGAUAGUACCUAAUGGUAUUAUUUGGUCUUAUCUUCACAGGGACAACCUUGAGGGCUGCGACUCAUGCCCUUUCUGCCUUGUUCUUCCUUGUCUCAUUAAACUUCAGCAGGUAUUUUGUAUAUUUCACCAUCUUCCCCCUUUCUUAUGCUUUGUAGCUAUAAACUUGUAUAUGUUUUCCUUGCAGAUCAGUAAUCAUCUGGAGCUUAUAAAGCCUAACCCUAAGGAUGAGGUGGAGAAACAGAAGAAGGAUUCUGAGCUAGCAUCUGCUGUGUUUGGUGCUGAUGUCGACUUGGUUGGUGGUAGUGCACAAAUUGAAAAUUUUAUGGGGCUUAGUGAUGUAGAACAUUGUGGGAAAAUGCGAGCAUUGGAGAAGCUAUUAUUGUCAUGGACUUCUCAUGGUGACAAGAUUCUUCUGUUCAGCUACUCUGUCAGGUAUAGUUCAUCCUUAAGGUUAUUCUAACCUUUAUAUAUAUGAAGGGCCUGUUUGAGAAAUCCAGCAGGAUUGGGCUGGAUUUUCUAUUGGAUUCAUAGAAUGGGCAGUCUAUUUGCAUAGAGCGGGCAAUCUAUUUGCAUAGAUUCCCUACAAACACAUACCGGCCUCAGCCUGAAUCUUGUGGGAGUAUCUCCAUGGAUCUUUUUUUUUUCUUCCUCCGGUCCAACAAACUCACAGAUGGGCUUUGAGAAGAAUAUGGGCUGGAAAGGCCAACAAGCCUGAUUCCUGUAGGAAAUCCAGCCUAAUCUUGAUGGAUUUCCCAAACAGGCCCUAAUGGUAUUCCAAUUACUUGGUUUUUUACUCAUUUUGCUUUUGUUUAGUAACUCAUUGUUUGUGGCUUACCAGUUAUCGAAUAUAGGAUUUUGCCACUAUCAUUUAAAAUAUCUUCUUGGAGGUUUACUAGUUCUGAAAACGAACUGGAUCGAAACUUCUUAUGGAGCUAUAGGAAGAUCAAAAUUUUCAAGAUCUGCAGGCUUAGAACCUAGAUGAGAAGGUUUUUUGGUUGAAUAUUAUUCCUGUGGUUCCUCAGCAUAUUUCUUCCACAUACACUUUUGUGGUUAGAAGAAAUGGAGAAAGAAGAGGCACAAUAAUAGUUAUGGGCGAAGCAAUGGAAGCAACGGGACAUAAGUCAACUUACAAGCUGCAUUAUUUGAGUUGAUUAGAUGAACGGCAAACAAGAUUUAAAGAAGUUCAUGUUGGCACACAGCAUAUUCAUAGUUUAUAAUAGUAUCAUACAUAUUUUUCUAAGUCUGAGAGCACCCUUAUCUCAUUUGUCAUCUCUAGAUCUAGAAUCUAUAAAAAGCUAGAGAUGGUGAAUAUUUUGAGAGGAAAUCCUGACAAUUGUGAAUUCUGAAACUAACACUUUCUAUGAUGUUAAAUGUCAAAAGCAUUGAUGGUAUUUAUUUAGUUAAGUAGCAUCCUGUCAGGAAAGCACCAAUUUGGUGGGGUUUGUCUAUAAUAUGAGGAACUUCCAUAUUGUGACAAUGUUGUCUUUCCACCCCUAUAGCAAUAAUAUUAGAUGAAAAGAUCAUGAGCUAUUCAUUAACUUCUUUAUUUUAAGAGUGAUUCACAUGAAAAAUUUGAGAGCGAUCAUUAAUCAAGAAUAAGUUAGUCAUAUGGGAGUAACCAUUAACAGAAUAUGAUGAAAUGAUAUAGAAUUGAACACUAUAAUGUCAAGUUCUCAAAUUAAUGAUCUUUAAUAUAUUUCAGAAUUAAUCCGAGUUUUGCAACUGAUGAAUUUCCACCUCAGAUAUUAACCAAAUGGAACAUCACUGUGAAGUUCUGCCUUGGAUAAAAGGGUACACCAAUGAUGAUAUACUAAAUUUCAGGAUUGAAUCUGAGUUUUGCAACUGAAGAUAAUGUAGAAACUUAACUUGGCCAACAAGUGAUAUGAGGCAACAGUACCAUUGUAGAGGGAAAAGGUGGAAUGACAUCUGGCACCAAUGGCCUCUGAAUGUAACUUAGUCCUUCCACGUCACAACCUCCACCAGAUAUCCUCCUUGUAAGAUCCGGAGACAUUAUGUUAAGAAGGUGGUUAUAGAGCAGCUAACUGACUUGGUUCACUUGAGGAAGUUCAGCAAAACAAAAUGUGAAUUGCAAGGAAAAAAUGUGCUGCACUAGUUUCAUCGAUCUGUGACAGACAUCACAAAAACAAGUGGAACCGUGUGCGAGUAAAAUAUAUCCACAAGAAGGAAUAUAUUUGACCCAUUUAUUAUGUAAUCUGAUAAUUUGAGUCUAUGACCCAAAAUGUGUUCAUAAUAACCAAGAUAAAAAUAUUUCAGGUGGUCAAACUUGGAACUUGAUUUUCUAGUUUUUUUUUUUUCACGUUUGAAAGAGAAUGAAAAAGCAAGAAGGAAAGAAAAACCUCUGCAAGAUUUUAUCUGUCAUGUUGUUCACUAUUGUCACCAUAUGAUGCCAUCAACUAGGGUUGAGAAGAAACUUUAUUUCUGAUGUCAUUUAUAUAGAUAGCUCAUGCAGUGUUAGGCUAACAUACAGCUAUCAUCUAAUUGUAGUAUGUCUUUUGUUCAAGAUAAGCCAGGUUUGUAUCAUGGUCUGGUGUAUUCUGUCAUUUUCUCAAAUGGUUAAGUCAUUAUCUUGUAUAGUUUGUGACGAUUUGCAGAUGUGCAUGUGGAUUUUUCCUUGUUUAUUUGUGUAUAUUUUACAAUUUAAGUUGAUGGUCGUUAGCAGGAUGCUGGACAUACUGGAGAAGUUUCUUAUACGAAGAGGCUAUUGCUUUUCCAGACUUGAUGGUUCAACUCCAAUGAGCUUACGCCAGUCACUUGUUGAUGAAUUUAAUAGAAGUCCAAGUAAACAGGUAACUUUAUUUAAAUAGUGAAUUUGUCUAUGCAUUCCAUCAACUGAUGGAUUCUUCUCCAUUUUGUUACAGGUAUUUCUUAUAUCUACAAGGGCUGGUGGUCUAGGUCUGAAUCUGGUCAGUGCUAAUCGUGUGGUAAUCUUUGACCCAAAUUGGAAUCCUGCGCAAGACUUGCAGGCACAGGAUAGGUCAUUUCGUUAUGGCCAGAAGCGCCAUGUUGUAGUAUUUCGUCUUCUUGCAGCUGGUUCACUUGAAGAACUUGUAUAUUCUCGCCAAGUAUAUAAACAGCAGCUUUCAAAUAUAGCUGUUUCAGGGAAAAUGGAGAAGCGCUAUUUUGAAGGUGUGCAGGUAUUGAUUGCUCAACUUGCUUCUACAUCACUUUUUCAAUUAUUUAAUUACAUAAUUCUAAGCAUUAUUUUUUUUUUCUUUCCACUUCUUUUGCUUCGUUACAGGACUGCAAGGAAUUUCAGGGUGAACUAUUUGGAAUCUGCAAUCUGUUCAGUGACCUUUCUGAUAAGCUUUUUACGAGUGAGAUCAUUGAAAUGCAUGAGAAACAAGGAAAGGAUCCUACAACUCAGACCAAUCUAAACAGUCCAAAGAUUAAUGAUGAUUCUUCUUUUGAGGGAGUGGACGAAGUACCAGUCUCAGGCAAGUUUUCGGAGGCUGCAAGUCAUGUGCAAAACAUAACAAAGCUUGAUGACCUGGGUAAGCCCAUGAUUUACAAUGUCUAAACCUUUCAUAUUUACUAAGCAACGUAUAAUCUAAUGAAUAUUCUUUUUUUGGCAUAUUGAUUGGUUUUUAUCCUCCAAUAGGAAUGCACAUCUGGGUUGAUUAUGGUUUUUUUUUUUUUGAGGUGGUUUAUUAAUAUUAUUAUUUUUUAACAGGGGAUUGGGGGAUNNNNNNNNNNNNNNNNNNNNNNNNNNNNNNNNNNNNNNNNNNNNNNNNNNNNNNNNNNNNNNNNNNNNNNNNNNNNNNNNNNNNNNNNNNNNNNNNNNNNNNNNNNNNNNNNNNNNNNNNNNNNNNNNNNNNNNNNNNNNNNNNNNNNNNNNNNNNNNNNNNNNNNNNNNNNNNNNNNNNNNNNNNNNNNNNNNNNNNNNNNNNNNNNNNNNNNNNNNNNNNNNNNNNNNNNNNNNNNNNNNNNNNNNNNNNNNNNNNNNNNNNNNNNNNNNNNNNNNNNNNNNNNNNNNNNNNNNNNNNNNNNNNNNNNNNNNNNNNNNNNNNNNNNNNNNNNNNNNNNNNNNNNNNNNNNNNNNNNNNNNNNNNNNNNNNNNNNNNNNNNNNNNNNNNNNNNNNNNNNNNNNNNNNNNNNNNNNNNNNNNNNNNNNNNNNNNNNNNNNNNNNNNNNNNNNNNNNNNNNNNNNNNNNNNNNNNNNNNNNNNNNNNNNNNNNNNNNNNNNNNNNNNNNNNNNNNNNNNNNNNNNNNNNNNNNNNNNNNNNNNNNNNNNNNNNNNNNNNNNNNNNNNNNNNNNNNNNNNNNNNNNNNNNNNNNNNNNNNNNNNNNNNNNNNNNNNNNNNNNNNNNNNNNNNNNNNNNNNNNNNNNNNNNNNNNNNNNNNNNNNNNNNNNNNNNNNNNNNNNNNNNNNNNNNNNNNNNNNNNNNNNNNNNNNNNNNNNNNNNNNNNNNNNNNNNNNNNNNNNNNNNNNNNNNNNNNNNNNNNNNNNNNNNNNNNNNNNNNNNNNNNNNNNNNNNNNNNNNNNNNNNNNNNNNNNNNNNNNNNNNNNNNNNNNNNNNNNNNNNNNNNNNNNNNNNNNNNNNNNNNNNNNNNNNNNNNNNNNNNNNNNNNNNNNNNNNNNNNNNNNNNNNNNNNNNNNNNNNNNNNNNNNNNNNNNNNNNNNNNNNNNNNNNNNNNNNNNNUGGUGGUGUGCACCAAGUUGGGCCAGGCCAAAGGUGGUAUCAAGCUUCACCAACAGGCACCUAUCUCUGGCUCAGCCCUGCCUGUAGUCAACCCAACUUGUGUGGCCCAAUCUCAGCUCAAUGAGCUACAAGUGAGAUUGAGCUGAAAUCAGGCUCGCCAAGUUAGCUUUGGAACCUUUUUUUUCUUUCCUGGUAACAUGUCAAAGAUGUACAAGGAAUUCUCUCAUCACCAUCUUCAGUGAUGAUCAUAUAAUAUGAAAAUUGCUUCAGCAAUUUAUAUGUAGCAUGUAAUUAGGGAAAUGAUCUGUAAGAUAACUGCUAAUAUUUGCGUAUAUUAUAGAGAAGAUGUAGAAUUGUACUUGUGCUAUAUAUGCAUGAUGCACAUGCAUUUUGUAAAUUGGGCUAGGCCAGGCUGAUCUAUGAGGCUUGCAAACCAACUGGCCUAAGAUUCUAAGUUGGGGUGAGGAAUUCACAAUGCAGGCUUAUCUCAGUCCAUGAAGAUAUUGGCCCAACCUGCUUAAAAUGCUGGCUUGGUCCAGCAAGUGUGGUUGGCCCAGCCCAAUGUGACAUCCUCCUGUCAAAUUUUUCACAAUCUUUACAUAAAUUUAGAUUUGCUCUUAAAAGCAAGGUGGAUUUGAUGGGUAUACAAUACCCGUUUUGAUGGACCUGAGUUGUAACUCAAAACUAGUUCUCUGUUUUAGAUUUAUAUGUGAAAAACUCUUGGUACUUGGAAAGUGUAAAUUCCUAAGCAGUCUUAAAGAGACAAGUUAAAUUACUAUUGAGAUGUUGUGUUGAAGGUUUUACCUAUUUAGGGGAAUAAUAACAUUUACCUCCUUGCCUGGUGCUGUCUAUAUGGCCACUUGUAAUGAAGUAACUUGCCUUAGAAUUUGACUGCAAAUGUUGAAUCAAAAAACAAAGAUACUUCUAUUAAUAUUUAUGCUAUCACACAUUGUAUUUCUAAAAUUCUGUCAUUCCAAGCAAUUAGGAUUUUUGAUCAGGUUCGUCCAGUAUCAUUUUACUUUGCUCUUUUCUUUAUUAAGUCUGCCAGUGCUGUUAGACUAAUUUGAACCUGUUAGCAAUAAUUUAGCUGGAAGAGAUAAAAUAAAAUAAAGUCAAUUAAUUUUCACAGGCAUAUUAUAUGUUCAUCGUAACGGAGAUGUUGUCAACAUGGGGCCGGAACUUCAAGGAAAAAAUGAUGCGGCAAUUACACACAAAAACAAUACCAUGAAGACUUUAAUCAAUAAGACAGAUAAAUGCUCGGUCACAAGAGAUAUCUCCAAGAAUGGAAAACCUGCUUCCAGGGAGCAGAAAAGAAAGGAAUUUAGAUGCAUUGCCCAGUAUAUGGGUAUGGAGGAGCUUGAAUUUAGCAAGUGGCUGCUAUCUGCAUCACAUUGGGAGCGGAAUGAAAUGCUACAGAACUACAAGAAGAAGAAGAAACGGUGAGUGCUGAAAGACGGGAAAUCUAUGCAAAUACCGGGCAGGGCCUUUGUUAAUAAUAGAUAGUUCUUUCUUUUUGUCAAGAAAUGAAUAAAUAUUGGUCCUGGCCAUGUACAGUAAAUCGGCGUAUGCCUUGGGUCUUCUUGAUAGGUUUUUCAACAGGAUCCUGCAUUCUCGUCGAGGAAAAGAGAGGUCUUGCAACAUGGAACAUCUUGUUCCUUCCCUGCUUAUUGCUUUGUAUUAUGUGUUCUCUGUAGAUGUAGUUGGUUUUUUCAUCUCCUUAUAGAUUAGUUAAACCAUAUUCUUUGCUGUAGAACAGAUUACUGUGAUCUCGUAUAAGCUCUCUGAUUACAGAUCUUCCACUCAUUUUGUGAGAAAACUAGCGCUUCACAUGUUUCAUUCUAGCAUUUGAACGGAUUCGCUAGCUAAAUGUUUUUGCCCAUUGUCUAGUCGUUUGUAAAUUGUGAGAUCUAGAGAAAUAUUUAGCCUGGAUACAAUAGUAGUGGUGGUUUGCUGGUGCAUAUGGAGGCAGCGAAACAACAGAAUCUUUACGCUUGAAGCCCACGACUGCGGACCCUUUUUCUUUCUGCAGAGCUGGAUGUCUUGCUAUAUGGGAAGACUUGAAACUCAUAUUACAGAUUGUUUAAGCAGCCUAACCCGUGGCGAGAAGCGACAGGGUUAGCAGAGUGCACAAGAAGACCGGAGCUCUGGUUGCAAGCUUCCAGCUGAGCACUUUAGCAAAGGACUACCUCGACGCUUGAAACCCCAAGAACUUAAUUUGCUGUAAUCCCUCUUUGUAGGUGGACCCUAUGUCGAGUCAAAGUGGUCCAUAGUGUAUUACCUAAAGGGUGUAUCUUGCACCCUUCAUCCAUUCUAAUUGUAAAUAUUUAAUCCUUCUCAAUAAAAUUCUGAUGGUCUAAGUCUCCCGCUUCAAUCAAAAAGAGAGAAAAAGAAAAAAGGGAAUGAGGAACUAAGUUGUAACCAAGAUAACAAAUGAAGAGAUACGUUAAUGCACCUUCAUUGCUCUUCACUAUCUAUCUAUGACAAUGGCAGGUCUCCAUGGUCUUCGACGGUACAGUGUAAAAUUAUAAAUAUUAAACUAAGAUAAAGAGGCGUGAGAGCGCAUAUAUGAUGCAUAAAAUAUUGUUGGACUGUUGAUGUAUUGAGAACAUGUCCUUUCGUCAGGAUCCCAGGCUUCUUUUACGGAAAAGUUCGGUGGUCACUGCUUAAGAAGGUACAUUGGUGGACGGUUCCGCUAGCUAACCUCACGCUCCCGUGUUCGUCGUUACUCGUCCAACUGCUGUAGAUUGUACAAUGGAUGAGCAUUGCCACGCAUCACUAUGUAUCUUUGUUGAGUUGACAUGUGCUUCAAGUAGUGCCGCGAAUCCUUCUUCCCGCGGCGUCACCUGAUCCCCACGUAUGUGUUGUUUUUGUUGAUACCCACACGCCACAAUCUGACUUGAUACAUUGCUGCGUCGAUUACCCAUUGACGAUAUGAGAAGCCGAGUAAUACGGUAAGGAGCCAAGCUUUCCUCGAAUGUCCCGCGGGUAAGCAUGGGCUAAGUCUCCUUGUCCAUUUAAUAACAUCAGUCAUAGUUGUUCAUUCUGUGUGCAAGUGAGGUCGAUUUUGCAUUGCCCAUGCUGAGACGAGCAAAUCUAAACCACCGCAGUUAUACCAUGAUGCAAUCCUGAACUAGCGUCUUCUUCAUUAUUACUAAAAAAUUUACAUGUACUGUUAUCAAUGAUGAUGGAUCUCCACUGACUCUAGCCCACGAACCAGUAACCAAACGCUUAUUAUGAAUUUAUUAGGGGUUGGAAAUAAUUAACCUCUCACUAUAUUCUACAACCUUAGCAGGAAGAUACUGAGCUCAGGACCGCCACCGUUGAAAUCACUGCCUCCACGCCCACCACCAUCCGGGCUUAUAAUGUACAGUGCUUCCGAGUCCACGUUCCCCACCACCCUCUCAAACUUGGCUCGCAUGUACAUCACCUCGCAAUUAGCCCCACCAACGCCACCUCCAUCAUUCCAACCGCUGCCAUGCAUUCCCCGGUUCUAGCGGGUGAGAUGGUUGAGGGGAGGAGCAAUUGGUGGAGGUGGAAGCACCCCGGCGCCCACCGACACCGCCUGCACCGCUUUCAGCACGUGGAGGUCGGCCCCGUUGCACCGGCGCGACACGGCGUACCCGCGCUGGUGCCCGUUGCAGUACAUGCUCCACACCGGCUCCUCCCACAGAGAGCGCCGUGUAGAAUUUUUCCCUUUCUUUUUCUUGCUUUCUGUGGUGGCCGUGGCAGGUGUGUUGGUGCUAGCAAUUCGAUCACAUUCAAGUAGCAUGCUCACCAUGUAAUAACCCAGAAUUAAAAAAAAAAAACAGAGGAAGAGGAAGACUCCUAACCGGAGUCUUCUUCCUCUCCGUUUACGACAAAAUCGAACCGGUAGAGUCCGAUCAGAGGUAGAAAAUCUUCCCUAUAAAAUCCUCUUUUCCUCCCUUAUGUCUCUACAAUUGGUUUUGAAAAGAAUUUUUUAGAAAUUUGAGGGAUUUUUCCACGAGGAUCCAUGGGUUCUUAGAUGAGAAAAAGGGGUUCGCCGGAGCUCUUCUCAACCGCCGGAGCAAGGUAAGCCCCUCUCCUUCUUCCUCUCCCUCUUCCCUUUCUCCCCUGGCCCAAAGUCUCGCCGUCGGCCAACCAACGAGGGGACCUCNNNNNNNNNNNNNNNNNNNNAAAAGAAAGAAGAAGAAAGAAAAGAAAAGAAAAGAAAAAGGAAAAAGAAAAAGAAAAGAAAAAGGAAAAAGAAAAAGAAAGAAAAAAAAAGAAAAAGAGGAAGAGAAAAAUAAAAAUAAAAUAAAAUAAAAUAAAAAGAAGACUCUCCUCUCUCUAUCUUCUCUCUCCCAUUUCUCUCUCUAGAUUCUCUCCCUAUUUUCUCUCUCUAGACUUUUUCUCUUUUUAUGGAUUUUAUCUCUCUAGAGUCUUCCUCUCUCUCUGAUUUCAUCACGGACCCUAGGAUAGAAUUGAGAUGAAAAUAAGAUGAUCUGAAGUUGCUCCAAAAUUCGUGCGGUAGAUCUGAUCCCAGUUCGAUCCUAUUCGAAAUUUGUAACACUUGAUUCAUAUUGAGUCACCCUGAUAGGACCUCUAAUGAUCUCGAUCAUGAGUGCCUCAUCGGAAGGAUACGAAGAUUUCUCUCUCCAUUUUCUCUCUCUACUUUCUCUCUAUAGUAAUUUUUCUCUCUUCAUGGUAUUUUUCUCUCUCUNNNNNNNNNNNNNNNNNNNNCUCAGAGUUACAGGAUGGCUUAAAUUGGCUAUGUCUUGGAUUUACGGGUGAGCAGAAGGAUAAAUAGAGUGUCAUGGUAUUUGAUCAGAAAAUUGAAGAAAUUUAAAUUGUAAUUAUGCAAAGUUUUAUGAAUUAUAUUUGAAAUUAAUUAUUAUGGAUGUUAAGGUUGUAAUAUUUAUUUUGGCCUUGCAUAUUCUUUAGGGCUUGUUCUAAGGAGUGUGCGGCCAUCAUGUAUCCGAUCCGGAUGUUGGAUUCGGAGCGUGACACACCAUCCCAGAGGCCAUCUCCUUGACAAGCUGAUCACAUUCAAGAAGCAAGACCGGCUCCGACCGGGGAUCCAUUUGUAUAGCGAAGCUCACCCGGCCCCUCUUGCGGCUAAAGGAAGUCCCGAUCACUUUCCUGCGAACCGAAGGGAUAGGCUUGAAGGGUGCAGUGGCCGGCACGACCGGCCAGUGGCAUGCCGGGGUCAAGAAGGAUCGGAGGGUGGGGAAGAGGGAGCGGAAGAUCGAGGAGGCGAACAUCGUGACGGUGAACGUCUUGGUCAGCUGGCCUCCUGCGAAGGAACGGCAGGUGGAGCGGCGCGAGAGGAGAAAGAGAGGUCCAUAAAGCAUGCUGCAUCUGCGCUUCCUGUUGUCAUUGCCUUCUAUUGGUUUGGUGGAGAUAGCAACAAGGAUUGGUGGUGGGUGGUGAUGCUUUGAUCGCGCUAGUGGGGUAAGAGGAGGGACAUGGUGGGGAGGGAGAGAAGAAUGUUGUACAGGCCGAGGGGCGACUUAGUAUCCAGUAGUAUGAUAAGCGUUUUGAAGAUUUCCGGCAGCCAACAAAACCGACGGGAGCAAGGCAAAUGGGCUGCACAAUGAUCACACUCCAGGACGACCCGUGAUAAAAGCUGCAGUGCUAGGUACUGUGUAACCCAGAGAUUUGGCUCGAAUAUAAAAAAUAUAUUUACAAAGUUUACGUUAUCACCCGUAGUAAGUGUGAGAAAGAUAUACCUUCAAUUUAACACUUUUAUCCAACAAUGAGUUCAUAUAUCUAGAACUUAUCUUUUGUUAAUAUUCAGAUUUUUCAAUCAAUAAUUAUCUCUUAGAUUUGGAUUAAUCAUAUAAUUAUGUUUUCAUCUGUGAUCGAUAAAUCAAAAUCCUAUAUUUCGAUUUGUGAUGAUGAGCCAUAAUAUCCGUCCCUCUCUUUAAGAUAAUAAACCAUAAUAUCCGUACUUGAAUCCACGGUGAUAAAUCAAAAAUAUCAUAAUCCAGCUCGUAACUGAACGGCCGCUAUUUGUUGACGUGAAAUAUAUGUGGAGGGAACGAGUUAACGGGUUUGUGGUUUAGGUAGUACAUUGUUGGCGUUAAGGAAAUAGACAAAGCAAUGAGAUGAUGCUAUUGAGGGGAAAGAGGUCGAGGCCAGGCGUUGGGACGGGAGGUAUAGUGGCUCCACCAAAGCUUCCCGAAGCUUGGGUGAGAUGACUGGAUGAUGGGAGCCUUUUCUAUUUGUUCUCAUGUUAGUAUCAGUAUUUCGUUUUGAGUUUUCUUUAAUAACGUUCCGAUCGGUUGUCAAAUGCAUGACGAGUUUUUGCUACCCAAAAAAAAAAUGCAUGACGAGUUUGUUAAAAGGGAUAGGAGUGUCUCGUAGUGGUGCCAUGGGUGGAUAGACUAUGCAAUAUCCUGUGAAUACGUGUGUGUCCUCGUCGUAUUAAAUUAAACAGGACAUUAACUUGGUCGAAAUAGUUGACUCCUCAAGACAUUGCCUAUAGAAUUUAUUUAAUAAAUUGUAAGAAUAAUCUGUUAUUUAUACAAGGCCAGGCUGCUAAUUUUCUAUACAUAUGAUCAAUGGUACAUGCAUGCAUGUUUGAUCCGUCUAUACAUUUUCCAGAUUCAAUUUUAGCUCUCCACGCAUUCAAACUGGUAGCAGCGAUUAUAUAAGGAAAAAAGUGGACCGAUGCUGAAUGGGGCAGCUUCCUCCCUUAAAUGGGGUAUCUAAUGAUGAAGGGUUGGCCUAAGCCCAAGACUAAUUCUGUAGAAAUUGUCAUUUGGAGCCAAUCGCACUAGCAUGGUCAAUUCACAUAUGCAGUAAAAAUCAAGUCAUUCUGACUCAUGAUGACAACUGAUAAGGGGUGUGACCUUCUCUAAUCAUGGGUAAGGAUGGGGUUAGGUUUGAUGCCUUUAUAUCUUCGACUGAUGUAUUUAAUUUGUCAGUCUUUAGGUCUGGGACAUGGGUAAAAUAUAUCUGUCUAAUUGGCUUGAUUUCAGGCAUAUGUACGUUGGCUGUGGAUUUACUUCAGAUCAGAACUAAUAAGCUCAGGGCCAGACAUGACAUUCCAAACUAUUCUAGGUCAGUUUAGAAUUGGUCAAUUUUUGUCAGUCUGCUAUUGGCCUACAUGAAUGAAAAAACUGUCUCGAUUUUGAAUCUAUGCUCAAAAAAACUAGAUUAUAGAUUUUGUUUAUAUGCCAAGUAUGCAAUUAUAAUAAUAUCAUCAUCAUUUCCAUCAAAAAAAAAAAUCAUCAUCAUUGCCAUUAUCGCAUCAUCAUCGUCAUUGUCAUCUUCAUUGCCGUUGUCAUUAGUUUAUCAUCCCCAUGAAGUGAGCAAUUAGAUUAGAUAGAUCUUCAAAUCAAUAUAAUUGGUAUAUGACUGGCACAAUUAUGAAUUAUAAAUUAAUAAUUCAUGAUAGAAAGUCUAAAAAAAUAUAAUUAAUUUUUUGCUUUUUGACUAGCUGAUGAUGCGUGGUGUCACUAAGUCUUUUUUUUUUAAUUAUUUUUUUCCAUUGUAAUAGUGAUACCAUAUGAACCUUACAGAAAAUAUCCUCCCCAGCCUGCAUUACAAUACCCAAAAAAUAUCUAAAUAACAAAUAGAAACAAGAAAUAGAUAAGAAUACAGGAGAAAAACCCAUACCUCGCUGGCAAUUGGACAUUUAAUCUAAUCUUGACCCUUUUGUGUCUUUUGUAGUAUAUACAGAUUCAGUUGUGUAGAGAUCUCAUCAAUUAGAAUUAUUAUAGCUCAGCAGGAUGGAUGAAAUCCAUAGUACCUGCCACAGUUCCAAGGACAAGAACCUCUUGUUCAGUAACAUGCUCAGCUAUUUGCUAAAGAGAGAAAAAGAAAAGAUUAUACGUUCUAACCCAACGAUGAGGGUAAUGAGUAGCUUGAAUAAUUUGCUUCAAUUGGUCAUCAUGAGAUUUCUCUGAAUAGCAGAUCUAAGAAACGUGGAAAUAGACUAUUCAAGUUGGAAAGCUCUGUCCCUAUGAUAUAUAGGUCACCAAUGAAAAUGUGAAGAGAAUAUAGAGAAAUAUUGAAGCAGAAAGUUGCACGAAGGUUGUUAGCAGAAGAAAAAUCUUUAUUUCUCACAUCUAACAAAUUUGCUAACAAUAUUUGAAUUAUUUUGCAGUGCUAUGGCUCCAUAGAAGACUCUGCGUCACUUCCCAUGACCCGUUACUGAAUCAUUCCCAAGAGAAAAUUGGACAGGUUUUCUGCAGUACACAGGAUAAAGUUUUCUUUCUGUAGUCCUGCCAGAUGAUCAUGAAGUCGAGCGAGCUGAAAUACAUAAACACGAUGCAUAUCCAGUCUAUAUGGAGUUCCUAACUUUCUAUUUCUCUUGUAGGUGUAGAAAAAGCUACUCGAUUGACUGGAAGUGACCUCAGAAAAUGUGGCAUGUUCUUCUUUAAUUCCAUAGGGUAAAAGGUUAAGCUAAUAUCUUAAUUAUGAGGGAAAAGAUAACAUUGAUUUACCAAGGAGAUAAGGCUGGCAAAAUGCCAUCUUACGAACAUGAGUUACUAAUAAUUUUGCCUUGAAGGAAAUUUUGUUUUACAGAUGGUUAUCCAAAAUUUCUUAAGCUCAUUAAGUGCUUCGAACAUCCGUAUUAGCCUGCAUUCUUCUUUUAUAACCAGUGUAAGUCAAAAUUCUGCAUCUGUUUCCCAUCUUUCCUUUGGACAACCCAUAACAACAGUAAUAUUCUAUGUGAACUACUUUAUCCAUUGCUUCUUCAUGUCCUCAUUUAGUUUUAGCUAUUUGGUUCCCCACGGCUCUUUUGCUUAUGGUUCAAACUGCAAACUCUUUGGCUUUCUUCUUUUAUCCUAGCUUUGAAUAUUGGGUUUUUCGAGAUCCUCGUUCUACUUGCGGGACUGAUGCCAAAUUCAGAGUUGAGUGCUGUCAGUAUAGCAAUGUGGUGUGAUUUCUUCUCCCUUACAAAUUUUAAGUUCAUCUUUCUAAAAGAAAACAAGGCAAGUCCAACAAUAGAGAGUAGAAACUGUGUGUCAUAUGUAAUCCAGCGUAAACACAGAAGCAAUCUCAUAUAUGUUCACUUAUGGAUUCAGUGCAGUUGUGAGAUACAUAAGCAUCUCUCUCCAUUUAUGCUAGAUAGUUUUCUUUUUCAAGGUUUCCCUAUUUAUUGAAUAGGUAAAUUUUGUUCCAGCAUGCGUAUAUCAAAUGAGAUGAGCUCUGGAAAUACAGAGAAUGUUAAGCAUGCAUGCUGUUGCUGUGACACUGAAACUCUUAAUCCUUCUAGCUUUGACUGGCUUUUGGUCAUUACUUAUGUGCAAGCUUUUUCAGCAUGCAUCAUGUUAUUACAAGGGAAUUCACUUACAUGACUCCCCUACUUACAGGUCUAUAAUUUUGGACUCAGCCCAACGACUUCUUAUUUGGUAACUUUUGUGGUUGUUAUUCUAUGCAAUAUGUGGCUGUGAACUUUCAGAACCGAUGGAGUGACUUCCAGGAGUAUCUAGAGGUUGUGGUUGUCAACAUUUGACAGCAUGGACCAAUUUGAUAUUAUACAAUUGAUAUGCCAUUUGCUCUUCUUUUUGGAUUCAAGUUGGGGUUUCAUGAUAGGUGAGUAGACUUCAUCUAUUAUCCAAAACAUGGUUAUCAGAGACAACUGGGAGGAUAACAAAGAAUGUGCUCCUUAGAUUUUCUUUUUCACUUUUUCAUAUCUCAGCCCUUCCAAACAAACUAUUAUCGAAGGUUCACUUGCAAAUUAAGCUGCAACACCACAUCUGACCAUUCAUGUUCUCACAUUUUCAAUCAUAAGCAACCUUGGCUUGGAAGGAUAUAUAAGGGAUUAGAGGUGUGGCCCUUGCCUCCAAACCCUCAGGACAAAAGAAGGCAGGAGUCAUUUCCUGGGCUCUGAUACCGAGAAACUUCACCAGAGAGUGAGCCGGCAGUUUCUAGGGCUACCUGAACCUAUUGCAUGCUAAAAAACACAUAGCAUGCGGACCUCUGAAAACCUCUAUGGGUUUUCAUGAAGUUAAAUCUAUGUCCUUUGACAGUGCAAGAUAUUGCAAAAAUGCACCUUAUUUUUCUUUUUAGAUGAUCCUUCUUUUUUCUUUUGAGAUAAGAUGAUCAGUUAUACAUUGAUCUCCUGGUUUCCAGUUUUGUACGACAAGAAUGAUACCCGUGCGAUGCAUGUUUUUUUCUAAAAUUUUCCUUUUAAUUUUUCUGAAUUUUAGAGAGGGGUCGAGUUCUCUCUUCUAUCCAUUUAAUAGAUAUAAAGACAUGAACCACAAACAGUUCCUUUCCUUGUUUUUCAUUUUCUACAUGUGUAAAAUAAAGACACCAGAAGAUGCAUUGGAAUCUCUGAAGUAAGGUCUUUUGGUGCAGGGAUUGCAGAUGGUUUGGAUCUUUGGUCUCUUCUGUCCGGCUUGCAACCUCUUGGUGAUCACUCUGCGCACUAAGUAGUCAAGAUUGGACCUGUCAGUGAAGGAUAAACUAAACGAUGUACGUACUUAGCCUGAUGAUUUAUAAAGUUCAUAGAUCAUGGAUGCCGGGUAUCUGCAUCGUUUAAUUAAUGAUGAUCCAAUUAACAGGUCUGACUUCUCUCAAAGAAUGAGCAUUUCAGUUCCAAAAUGCGAUAGUGUCUUAUGAUAGAACAAUGAGCACGUAAAAGCAAGCGUUUAUCAAUUAGAAUGGCUCUUAGCACUAAAUUCGAUGUCUUCUUCUUUGGUCUACCAUAUGCAUGCAAACGAUAUAACACACCUUUUUCAUACCCAAAAUGAACUCGAUCCAGUUGACAUAUGUUUCGUUCUUAUGUUUGUUGAUGUUAGCGUGCUUGAUUUGAUGGAUACUCCGGGGUGUAUUACCCAUUCAUUGUGCUAAAAUCCAUAUGCACUCUCUCCCACUUCAGUUUGGGAUUAAUCCUAUUUUUUUUGAUAAAUAUACAGCUCCAUAACAUUUUUUUUUUGAAAAUCUUCGACUUAGUAUGAGUGGCCUGCCCCACUUAAUCCAACGUCAAAUUGAAAUUAGAAUUAAAUGAGUUAACAUUUAGAAACUAAGCCCACCCAUCUUAUCAACAAACAUGAACCAUACAUGCAUCACUCAAUCUUUAGCAGACUACCGUCUCAUUUUCACAUUGUAUUUAUAUGCAGCGUGAUUUUUAUUAUAUGUAACUUCUACACAAGUUGUAAGCUUUCGCUCAAUUAGUUUUAUACAUUUUGUAUUGUGACCUACCAUAGGAAAUAUCAUAUCGGGAAGAUGAACAAUGUCACUUACCGACAAGCUUAUUGAGAAAGUCAGCCCUCACUUUGGCAAUUUGAUAUCUACUUUCAUAGAACCAUCAGGAAGUGGCAAUUCUCUUGGAACUUUACUUCUGUGUUACCUCUUACUCUGAAUACCUUGCAAUUUUUAUUUUAAUAAGACAUCUUUGCAGAUUUUCCUUUUUAAGAAUGAGAUAGAGAAAGACUAAGGACAAACACUGGGCCUGAGCAUCCCAGCCCAGGAACAGAGAUCAGGUUACUAGGCCCAUUAAGGGUCUGUUUGAAUAUUGGGUUGGGUCCAAACAACUAGCUAAAUAAAAUUAGCUUGGACUUAUAAUUAUAAGAAUCUAGAAAACCACUCCCAUAGCGAGUAAAAAAAAAAAAAGACGUCAACAGGUCUUNNNNNNNNNNNNNNNNNNNNCUUAUGAGAUUUGGGCCAGCCUAUUUUUAUGAUUCUUUAAAUUUUGAUAAUUAUAAACCUAAUACAAUCUUAUUUAGUUGGUUAUCUGGGUCUAAACCAUGAAUUCCAUAGGCCCAGACACCCAGACAGGCCUUAAGCGGGGACGGCUGCGCCGGUAAAAACCCCUGUUGAUCUAGCCUCAAAUUGAGCUAUACUUGAGCGGAUACAGCCGAGUCUAAUUUGGACAAUAAGAGUCUAAUAUUGUGAAUCCGAGCAAUUGAAUAUAAUCUACUAUCUCUAAAUUACUUGCAUACAAAAAAUCAUAUGAUUUAAAGAUAUCUAGCCUAUAUAUCGAGCAAUCUAAAUAUGGAUUGUUUAAAUGCCACUAAAUUAUAUAUAUUUUCUUAUUAUUUGAUGCAUCGACUAAAAAUCUUUAAAUCAUAUGACUUUUAAUAUAUAAAUAGUUUAAAGAUAAUGGUCCAUAUUCAAUGGCUCAGAUCAUCGAUAUGGGAUCUUCGCUAUUCAAUAUAGUCCUAAUUGAAUUUAUUCAAGUGUAGUCAAGUCUAACUCUCUUUCUAUUCAUAUAAAGAGAGAUUUGGCUGCAUUUAAAUGGAUCUCCAUUUACAUCCGCUUGAAUCUAUAUAGGAUAAUAAGUGUCCUGCAUCAAUGAUUUUAUUGCAUCAUUAAUUUUAUAUUAUUCUACUUUAAGUCACUUGAUAUAUAGAUUAGGGUUUGCAAAUUACAUGAUUUUUAUUAUUUAAGUAGUUCAGAGAUAGUAGAUCAUAUUUAAAUAAUCCAAUCAUCAAUGUUGGACCUCUAUCAUUUAGUAUUGACACAACCCAAUCCGAGCUAAACCUCGACCAGAUCAGGGUAUGCUUGUAACAUUCUUAACUUUCAAUUAUAUGUAUUUCAAGCCAUCCAUCGUAACCUAAUGUAGAUUACACAUGCUCAACAAAUGCCUCUUGCAUCCAACUGCGUAUGCACACGAUGAGCUGAACAUUUGCUCAAUAUAUGCAGAAAUCUAUCUUGUAAUUAACUCCAACCAGUCCUUAAAUCGGCCCAAACCCCACAUACAUAACAUAAAAGUUAUAUCUAGCUAAACGGCCAACCCAAUCUCAGACCACAAAGGAUUUAUUAGAUUGCUAAUCAAAUUGUCAACCAGCUGAUCCAACAAUAGUCCCAAAUCCAAUGUGAUGAGAAACACUUCCAAGGCAAUAGCUGGCAUUAUAUAGACUGCAUUUUGUUCAAGCAUAAAGUAGGAAUAAGGUUUGGAAUAAGUAUCAUACCUACCUAAUAACAUUUGCGAAAGAGGCAUAACUAAAUAGUCGUGCCGGCUUAUGACAGGCAACCAUUCCAAAGGGCUAUCACGAGUUAUUUCCCUGGCAUAUGGUCACUUUUUAAUCUGAUUGUUUUUUUAAUGCCUUUUGAAUAGAUAAAACGGUUGUCAUUCAAAAGUUAUUUCAAAAAGUUGACUUUCAAUUAGUCAAAUAAAAAUUAUCAUAACUUAUGGCAUGAUCUUUUUCAUGGACAUAACUUCAAUUUUUUUUUUUAAUAUUCCCAAACCAAACGCAACCUCAAGAUUUAACAAAUGGUUCUUAUAUUUAAAUUCGGUUAACAGCUCAUUACUUUUUAAUAACGAUACAAAUCCACCGACAACCAAUAAUUACCGACAUUAUUACUAAGUAAUAAACUAUCAAUAAAACGAGAGGUAAUAAGGGGGAGGUUGCUAUGGCCGCUGCCGCCGACCCCACCAACCUGGCUGGCUGCCUCAACUCUCCUUCCCUCGUCUCACCCCAAGAUUUCCGACGCGAGAAAUUUCUCCACGCUGCUUCUACCUUGACCCCUCUCUCUCUCUCCCCCAUCCCUACGAAUAAAUUUCAGCGCUUAUACUUAAUUCUUUUAAUUCAUAUUCCUGUUGCUUUCGCUGUGCGCGUAGUUGUUUUGGUGGGGAGUCGGGUUUGGUAUCAGUUCGUUGUGCUCUCCCUUUCAUCUCCUUCCUUCUUUCUUUCUUUCUCUUCGAUUCUUUCUUUUGGGCGGGUUGGUAGUUGACUCGAAUUGAAGCAAUCUUUUCUUGGUGGUCUUAUCAUCUAAUCCGGGCGUAAUGUUGAAGAAAUCGCCCUUGUCUUCGAUCUUAAUGUUUGGAGCUGAAUUCUGAGGGUGGGCCGUGUUUGGCGGCAAUGGAUGGGUGGAGGGGCGGGAAGGGGUUUGUAAAGAGUGCGAUCUUGGUGCUGCUUCUUGGGUUUCUUGGGGCUUCGACGGCUCUGAGGCCUCUCAGGGAGAGAGCUUCUGCUGCUUCUGGAUCUUGGGGCAAUCAGGUUUAUUUCUUGCUACACCUUUUUUUUUUUUCUUUCUGAUGCAAUAUUUUUCUCUUUCUUUGCCGUUUCUUCUAUGUUUUUGCUGUAAUUUUUUAGUAUGUUUUGUUUUGAUGGACAAAAAGUGGGUUUCUUUUUCUUUUUUUUUUUUUUUGUUGGCAAAAACCCUAGUUUUGGAUCCGACGACUCUUGUAGCUACUUAGAAUUACCAUCAGACUCUAGUUGACUCUACUUGAAGAAGCUGUGGUGAGUUAAUUGUGUGUUGCUAGGAUGCUGUCAAUGAAUUGAUCGUUUGGCAAAUACAUAUGACCUUGAUCAUGAGCGGUUGCAUAUGUAUGGUUUCUUUCUUGCUGUUUCUUUACUUUGCUUUUAAAUUUUCUUGUUUUUGAUGAAUUUCAAGGGUAAGGCUGGUUUUUUUUGCCCCCCUGCAUUUUGAGAUGGUAUGGGUGGAGACUUUUGUAACUGGGAAAAUCCUAAAACUGGCUUUGGGGACACUUGAAGCUCAAUGCAUUGUAAUAAGGGUAUAGUUGACCUGUACAAGGUUUAAUUGGUUGAGUGAUGCUUGGACGCUAUCAAGAAUGAUUGGUUUGGUUAAUUCACGACACAUUGAUCAUGAGCCAUGGUCUGUGUAUCGGGUCUUUCUUGCAUUCCCUUUUUCCUUCUCUUGUUUUGGCUGAACUUUAGAUUUUUCUUGGUUUUGGUGAUCAGAAAGUUUGUUUCUCGCAGUAUUUUAACUUGGUUCAGUUUCUGAAUUUUAUAACUGGGAUCAUCUAGAACCGGCUUCAGGGACACGUGUAGCUAUCUGAGUUUAUUUGAACAACCGUUAAUGAGUUGAGUGAUACUAAGAGACUACUAGAAUCAAUUGGUUUGAUAAAUCAGUGACACAUUUAUCAUGAGCUACUAAAAUCUAUUUAUCUCCCCCCCCCAACCUCCCCAACUUCUUUUCUUUUUCUCUUUCUGAUCUUUUCUCUUAAUCCGAGAAAUUGUUCAUGUUAGACAAUUUCAUCUUUUUAAAAUUCCCAACCCUUAACUAUGUUCUCUAGACAAGGAGUUGAAGGGUUUUUUAGAUGAUCUCCUCUAGGGUUCUAGGUUGUAAUACACAAGUAUUUCAUUCAUGUUAACAUGAAUUUGGUAAUGGGAGAAAACGUGGAAUUUAAGAAAAAAGGAAGAAAUUAUUAGAUUAGUGCAAAAAGUAGAUUCUUGUUUUGGUAUAUCUAAUCACAUCUUUUGGUAGGCUACAGUUAUUGUGGCACAUGUCAUAAAUUAAUUAGGUUCAAUUCUUUAACUUGUUAUGAUCACAUGUAGUUGCUGUGGAGCUAUUUUAGGUGGCUCAUGUCUAGGUUGUACAUAUGAAAUUCUAUAUACAUGCCUGUCCAGGAGACAAACACACACACAUAUAUAAUGCUUGUAGCUGUAUAAAAUUUGGUCAGAAAUGAAAUUAUACCUUAAGCUUUUGAUUCAUUUAGUGGAGGAACUGAUCUUGAAUUGUCCAUCAUUAAUGACAAUGAUAGACACAUGAUUGAUCUAAAUAAUUCUAAUGCUUGUCCAUUUCUUUUUAUAUGCUCCUUUCAUGAGGAACUGAUGAGGAUUGUCAGAGUUUUUCUGUAAUUUUUUGUUGGGGAGAUAUGAAGUUAUAUUAUGACCCAAGGUUUCCUAACCAAUCAGUCUUCUGAUACUAGGAUUAUCACCUUGUCUGAAUGAACAACUGAUGUUGCUGUAAUUGAUAGGCAGAAGAAUAAUAAUACCUAAAGUGAUUAUUAGGGCUACAUAGUGAACGUUAUUAAAAAUUCUGACACUUGUUCAGUGUCCACAUAAACUUAUGUUUCUCUAUUCUAAAAAACUGUUGCACGACUUUAAAAAAAAUUCUAGACAGGUCCGCAUUUGUUCUGUGGUAUACAAAUCACUUUUGUCCAAUGCAAGCACUUUUAAAAGCAUAUUCAAGAAUUGAGAGAAAGAAUUUCAGAGGGAGAGAGGAACUACUGUUAUAACUUGCCAAGAUGAUAAAUUGUCUUCCUUGAAAUAUCUCCAACUUAAGAAACUUUAGAAGCUUGACUUCUGCAAAGCAGCCUUGAUUUAAGAAUCUACGAUGGUGAAAACUUGCUGUUGGAUUGUCAUGUAUGAUUAUUUCUUGAUAUUUAGCUUUUGUCUUGAGGACUGGUGGUUUCUUUGAGUUGCCUUCUUGUCCUUCACCAUACCAUAUUGCGAUGGAUGUUUUCCUAUUAGCAAAUUCCUGUUACUUGUUUAACUUAAGGAGGGCAUUGGUGUCAUUGUUGAGUUAACAUUUAUGCCUUUAUUCAUUUCAUAUUUCUGAGCCAUGAUGAUAAGCUUAUGAGCAAUUAUUUAUUUCUGAUUGAUUUUUGUUUAUUGACUGUUUCUUCGUACAGAGGCUUUUCCUAAGAAGAGAUGAUAGUGAUAUAAGUUCUUAUUGGAACAUUACAGGAACAUAUAGAGGUUUGGUUCCUUUCUUUCUUUCUUUCUUUUUCCUAUGUUCUUAUCAGAACAUCCACUAAGAGUCUAGAAGCUCCUUUGUUUAGCUACUGCUCUGAAGGAACUCUAGAUUUGUUUCUAUAUACAUUUCAACUGUCCUUUUCAAGUUUAUUUUACCUUUUGUUUCUCUGUAAUUUUCAUUUUGUUAGACAUUGUUAAAUUUGAUAGUUACUAGAAAUUAUUACCAGCUUGUAUCAAAAAAAAGAAAUUAUUACCAGCGAGAUUAUCAAGAAAGGAGCCAUUUUUUAAAAAGUGCCAUUCUUGUCUGUAUAAUGUACAUGCCUUUGUCUCUUGCCUUUAUUGUCAAUUAUGCUAUUCUCUCUUGGUCCGCUAAUAUCUGACUUUUAACAUAUGUGGAUUUUUGAGAUUCAUUGACUAUUUUGUUAAUUUCUUGUGUUAAUAAGAUCUCAAUUGAUUAAUUGACAAAAACAAUAGAGUGAGCGUGAUCAUGCAUCAUCCAGAUGUGUGCAAAUAGCUCAAAGAAGGAUGCGUGCUUGGACAGAGGGCUUCAGCUCUGGAUUUUGAGUCAUUCUGAAAACAGCCCAGGCCAUUAUUCUGUCACUGACUUCUGAUGAAAGGGUUUCAGCAUGUUUCUCCCCUCUUCUAAUAACCUUAUGUUUUGAUGCUUGCAAGUUUCAUCCACUGUAUUUGAAUUUGAAACAUCAGAAAUGAACAGAAGAAAUCACAUUGAAUCAAUUCAGUAUGUUGCCUCAUGCGCCCAAGAGUGGGCAAGUCCCUUGGAAGCAAAGUUGCUUCUGCUAGUAUUUCUAACCAAGAAUAUAAGCUACAAGAAUCAUGAAUGAAAUUACAUGAGCAGACCAACAUGUACUUCGGUAUUUGGUACUGGGCAUCUCAUAGUCUGGUAAUGCCACCUCAAGAGUAUUUCUGUAUAACUGUUGAAGCCAAAGAUAGAGAUACAUCCACUCAAUUUGGUGUUCAGACUCAUUUCAAAAAGCGAUAGUAGACGUUACUUAUUUAUUACAGUUUGCUGGGAGUACCUAUCGGAGGCUGUAAAAAACUACAUGAUCCUUCUGGGAUAAAGUGGUGAAUAAUUGCCAUUUUGUUGUGACCUAACAAGGUGAUGUUUUUCCUAUGGAUAUUUGCUUUGAUGCUCAUAGGAGUAGUUGGCUUUAUCUUCUAGUUACCAUGUAAUAAUUUGUUGAUUUAAUACUUCUACAUGGUGUACCUUUCUGAAGUCAUCUGUUUGGGUGAGAAACUGCUAUUCCAUGCUGGAAUUUUGAUGGUUGUAAAUUUAAUGGAUGUAUCAUGCAAAAGUGCUUGUUUGAGCUAGAAUGCUUGUGCGACAAAAUUUUAUCAGACUACAAAUUAUAGUUAGUACAACUUUUUCAUAUAAAAUCCCAACAAUAAUAAAAGUUUGUAUCUGAAAUUUUGAGUCAGUAUGCAGAAGGUGCAUUUCAUUGAUCUUGUUGUAUGUUAACUUACAUUGUAAGAGAUGUUUUAGCAAAUUUACUGACUUUUUAGUUGGACUAGCAAAGGUGCCAGUAAAUUUGUCUUCUCAAUUGUUUCUUGAACUUCUACAACUGUUUCUCUCUCUCUCUCUCUCUCUCUCUUUUGGGUGGGGGGGAGGGGGGUGCGUGGGUCGGGGACAGUGGGGGAAGCAAACUCUGCCAUGUAAAAUGGUGCUUAUUAGUUAUUAGUCAUGUUCUCCUAGAACUUGAUAUAUCUUAGUUUCUUAUUAUUCUGGUGGUCAUAUCUGUGAUGCAGGAAGGUGGAGCUUUGUAGAGACCACGAAUGGCUCUUCUAGGUUUCUAGAAUUUGGAAAAUCUAAUGGUGAAUCUGUCUUGGAGUUAGUGAGUACCCCAACAAAGAUAAGUGGUGUACACUAUGUUCAGGUAAGAAGAUGUUCUUUCUUAUGCCAUCAUUAUCAUCAUUGUUGUUAUAGUUAUUAUUGUUUAUUAUGUUUAUUAUUUCGUGGCAGCACAUGAUCUAUUUUGAUUGGUAUCUUCUUUUUCCAUCUGGUUAAGGAAAUAAACUUAUCUUGUGCUUGAUUCUCUUAUCAUUCUGAUUCCUGUUUCCAAUGUGACAUCCUCACCUUUCUCUUCUAUAUAGUUAAAUCCUGUUCUCCAUAUGUAAUUGCAGCACUAAAUUUUCUCAUUUAUCACUCAUAUUGCAUUAUCCAACUUCACUCCGCUGCUUAGUCUCUUUCAAGUUGCUACUUUAAGUGUGAACUUCCUGCAUAUUAAUUUUUACAUCUGAGAUUAGUCACCUCACAUUUUGAGAUGAAGUAUUUCUAGUAGUUUGGAAGUUAAUAUCAAUAAUGGAAAUGGUAGCAUUGAUCAUCAUGUUCUGCAAGCAUCCAAUGGUUAUCAGGUCAUCCUUAAGAUGAAAAAUGGAGAUACAGAAGUGAUCUCUUUGACUAUUUUCAAUAUGCCGAAAUGCUGUUAUAGAUCUGGUGUCUGGUGUUUGACUCUUAUAUGGUUACACCAUGUUUGCUUGUUUGCAAACGAUAGCCUUAUGCAGUAGAGGUUAAUGACAUGUGUAAGGCAGUUGCUGUUACCGGUUCUCAAAAGCAAUAGUUGGGUGUAAUCAGAGGCAUACGCUAUGGCUGAAGGUAACAUGUGUUUAUUGCAUAAGAUGGAAAAGAGCUACUGGUGCUUCUACAUUAAUUGGAUUCCAUUUUGUAACUAUUGAUUUUCUUUAUAUGGGCAAGGCUGUAGAUCAGAAAGUUUUUGAAGGUAGAAAUGUAUGCCAGCAAAGUUGGUGCAUGUCUGUUAUGGUUGAAAACAACUGUCAAACUUUAGUGCUGCUUCUUUAAUUGAUGCUAUUUUGUGAUUUGUCUUUAUUUGGUCAAGGCUAUUGAUCAGAAGAUUGUUAAAGAUAGAAGGAUGUGCUAGUGAAUUUGGUGCAUACUUGUUAUAUGUAAGGAUGAAAAAAAUUACCACUCUUGGUUAUUUGGAUUCCAUUUUUGUGAUCAGUGGUUUUCCUUCCUUUUUGGUCUUGGAUGAGCAGCUAUAAAUUACAAUUAUUACAAUUGGAUCCACAAAUUCAACUUUAUUACUUUUUCUGUUUUGAUAUAUAAAAUAUGACCUUCCAUAACUUUUUUGACCACAGGGAGCAAUUACUUUUCAUGAUGUAUUUGACAAUGAACAUGAAAAUGGAGUUGCUCAGAUGAGAGUAGAAGGUGUGUAUAUAUGGCCUUUCAGGCAACUUCGAAUGGUAGCCAACAGGUAAAUUUGCUAUGCUUGGCUGCACCUUUUUAUUUGGUCAUUUUCUUAUUGAAUGUGGGGCCAUGGAAGUAUUUUUGAACAAGGAAUCCCUGAUUCCAUAAUCGCACAGAACGAUGGUUUUUGUAUGUGGAAAAAAUGCUGGUUGCCUAAAAUCUUUGCGUGGAUGUAUGCUGUAAUUUGGAGACAACAGUUUAAAUAUGAUUCCUCGUUAAAGUUUGUUGUUCUAGUCCUUUUUCUUAAUUGUGUCUGUGUGCGUGCUUUUUUUUUCUUUUUUUUUUAAAUCGCAGGGGUGGGGGGGGGGGGGCGGGGGGGCAUCUAUGUUGAUGGAGUUUGUUAUUCGAUGCAAUUUUCAGUUGCUGCAAUCUUUUUUGUUUUUUUGAAGAAAAAUUGAGUUGAAGCCAUUCAUUCAAGCCACUUACGAAGUUUUUAGGGUGUUGGUGGUCAGUCUUUCUCAUGUGGCUGUGUUUGCCCAGUUUCCUUCCCAACAUAGCAGAUCCGGUGAUGGCUAGUGCUAUCCUAUUUGUUGACCUAGAACACUUGAUUGGGGAUGUAAAUAUGAGCUGUCGAUGUCCCCCUCAUUGUAGCUCGAGAUGUGAAAAAUAUGGCAUUAAUCAUAAGAGGUUUUUCCAAUUGAUACUCUUUGACUUUCCCCAUCCUCCCCCCCUUCUUGUUUUGUUGUGUACAGCUCAGAGGCGACAUGCCACCUAAAGAUGUCGUAGCAUAUGCUGGAACUAGUUUUUUUGAUCCAUCUUCUUGUUGUCAUUUCUUCCUCUUUCUUAAGAUUGAUGGAUUUUACAAGUUGAUGAUAAUUUUCUAAGUGUUCUCCAUUCUUGUCGAGAAACUUUUCUGAACUGUGUUUUCUGUUCCAUUUGAAAAUCACUUUGUUACAUUUGAAAUGGAAAUGUUCGGAGAAAAAAUUGAUGUA